rnacentral:lncRNA from 1 species
GUUAGAUUUUGUAAUUUUUAGGUAGUUAAAAAAAUAUAUAUAUAAUUUUUCUCAACUUUCAUUCAUUUUAAUUUGACUAUCUAAUCUUUAAAAUUUUAAAUUUUGCUACAUAAACUUUUAUUUUUUUGUUAGUUUUAGUCUGUUAAUGACUAUUUAACUUUAAUAUUUGAAUCCACUGCUGAAUUUUAUAGACAUAAUAAGUAUGUAUUAUAUAAUAUAUGGAACUAUAAAUCCUUUCCAGUAAGUAAUUGAUUUAAAUUUUAUACUGAAAGAGUCAUCAAAUGACUUAAAUCGGACAAAUUAAAAGACUGGAUAUUAAAAUAAAAAUUAUAAAAGGUUAUAUAAUCGAAUCAAAUUCUAGUUUAGAUAAGUUUUAUUCAUUUUUACCUAAUAUUUAACUUAGGAAUCUGAUAUUAUCUCCUUAUUUGUCUUUUUCUCACUUACCACCUCUUCCUUAGUUUUUUUUUUUCUUAAUAAUUUCUUCGAAAUCCAAAAUCAUUAAAAUAGUCAAAUUUCAUCUAGGAUUUAGCCCAGCCCAAAUAGUUACAUGGAUGUUUGACCCAUAUAACACACUGCGAAAUGGAUGGGCCAAGUUCAGCUCAGGCCCGAGAUACAUCGACCCGACCGGCCCACAAUACGCGGCGUGGUCCGCACGUAUAGGUCGGACUCCCAUUCUGCAAUCACAGCCGUCAAAAAUUCCACGGCUUCGAUCACUUGAUCGGGAAUCCGACGGUUCAGAUCAAUCACGCCUGUCCGGAACAAUAAUAACAGCUCCAUUUCUCAACACCUUCCCCCAAGUCACUCUCGCCCGCGCUCGAUCACUCCGCCACCGCCACCGAUCCCUCCACACAAAAAAAAAAGAAAGUGAAACUACUCUUACACCUCCCCCUUUGGGCCUUUCCUCUCCCUUUCUUCUUCCCCACGCUCCGCCACCCCCCAAAACCCUAGCCCUAGCCAUAAACCCUAGCUCGCUCUUCUCCCUCUCGAAUCAGGGCAAUGGUGCGCGCGUACACGCAGGAGCACGUGUACCGGCACCCCUGGGACCGCGUGACCACGGCGGCGUGGCGCAAGUUCACCGACCCCGACACCCCCGCGGUGCUCUCCCACAUCCUCGACGUCCACACGCUCUCCCGGCGCCUCGACUCCGCCACGGGCCGCCUCCUCACCACCCGAUCCAUCACCGUGCGGUCGCCGACCCUCCCCUUCCUCGUCCGCCGCGUCCUCGGCCAGGACGCCGUCGUGUGCCACUGCGUCGAGUCCUCCGUCGUCGACGCCCCGCGCCGCUCCAUGGACAUCGUCGCCCGCAACGCCAGCCUCCGCGGCCUCAUCGAGGUCGAGGAGCGCUCCAGCUACCGCCCCCACCCCGAUCGCCCCGCGGAGUGGACGGUGUUUCGGCAGGAGACGAGCAUCCGCUGCAAGCCCCUCUCGGCGCUCGCCGCCGUGGCCGAGAAGGUGGAGCAGCGCUGCGCCGACAGAUUCCUGCAGAACAGCGUCAAGGGGCGGGAGGUCGUCGAGCGGAUCUGUAAGUACCUCGAGGCCGAGUCCUCCUCCGCCGCGGCCGCCGCCUCUUGUUGACGCGCUUCAUUGGUCCGAGGUUAGGGUUUCUUCUAGCCCAUUCUCUUGUGUAUCAUUCUAAUUGCAGAUCCGUGGAGUAAAUUGCAUCACGAGUGCUCCUUCGUAGAUUGAUUGCUCCAUCUCUUGCAUUUGCGCUUACUACUGGUCUUGGGAUCGUCAAUUGAAGUUUCAGAGCCCUUGGGUGUCUCGGAUUUGUUAGUCAACAGUUAGUUCUGAUCAAUGGGAGCUGGCUAGGAUAAAUCUUAGGUGGUUUGAUCUCUUAGAUCAUAAGAUAUUUGGUAUUCUUUUGUCGAACGAGAGUAGAUGAAACUGGAUUGGUGCGAUCGGGAUUGUGUGUUGUGUUUAAGGGCAACAUUGAAGCAUGCUAUUGUUUAAUUAAGCAUAUUAUGGACUACACGAAAACAAGAAGAAGAACAAGAGUGGAAUUGUUUUAGAAUCGGUCACACAUCUUAUUGACACGGUGUUCGAAUUGUUAAGUAGGAUUGUAGGAAGGAUUCUCCGAUUUCAUGUUGGUGAAUUUGUUUAUCAACAUGGCAUCUCAAUCUGUACCUUAGACCCCUUUUUUUAAAUCUUUCAAUAGAUUACAUCUUCUUGUUUGUUGUGCACGUAAUAAAUCAACCUGCGAUUAUCGAAUUUAAUUGAUGCUCCACUCGACACACAAAUACAUCAGGGUGGGUACAGUUUAACUGAUUUAUCCAUUGGUUGUGUAUAUACAUUCCAGUAAAAAUCCUGGUUAGUUCAGUAAUGAUUUUGGAAUCCAUUAUGCUUGCUGCAUAUCAUGGUCUAUUACUUACCUUCUUGUAUGUCUGAUCUCGCCCCUUAAUUUUUUGGUGCUAAAGUACGUUAAGCUUAGCCUUCUGGUGUCUGCCAUCUCUUGGUUAUUCAUAUUUACAUGGAUUCUUCCGUUAACCCUCUCCUUUUUUGGCCUACAGUUUUGGCUCAUAAACCACUUAAACCACUGAAACUAGGGAAACCAAAAUUCCUUUGACAUGGUGAUGUUAGAAAGAUAGUUGCCAUUAGAUGCUUGCUUGGCCGUGAAUAGUUUAUCUUAGUUUUUUGGCCAAUGCGAGCAAAAUAAUUGGUAGGAUGAGGUAUUGUCAGAAGACUCAGAGCAAGGAAUGAGCAGAAGACUCGGAGCAAACAAUCUCAUUCCCUGCACACUAGUAAUUUCCAAGCAUACUUAACCUGACUGACUCUUCUAAUUAGCAUGGCAAUUGGGUCAUGCUGGAACAGAAAUCUACGAAAUCAUGCCGUUUUGAGGUUGUUCUUAUGAAUGAUGAGAGUGACUCCUUUAUUAAACCAUCCAGCAAGUUUCGGUGACGGCAAUGAUAGGACAAAUCAGAUGUGUGUUGAUAGGGAAGCUAAAUUUGUGAUUUUGUGGAGAUAAGCUAAAUUUGUUUUUUCUAUAAUAGAUUCGUCUCUACUAAUCGGCCAUAAGCCUUGUAGAUGCAGGAAGCAUUUUUAUUUGUAAUUUUGUAGAGAUAAGCUAAAUUUGUUUUUUCUAUAAUAGAUUCAUCUCUACUAAUCGGCCAUAAGGCUUGUAGACGCAGGAAGGAUUUUUUUUUUUCUGGGAAUAUUUUUUGUUUUGGUAAUGUUUGCCAUGUCUACUCCUUCCUAAGGGACAGAUAAUUUGGUAUCUUUCUAAAUUUCUAAUACAAUCAUGAUAUUUAGAUGUUCUACAAAAACACGGGGACCUCUUUUUUCUAAUUAUUAUAACCUGGUACUCACACUAACUUGAUCACUUCUUAGAUUAAUAUGAUCAUAUUUCUGAUUAAUAGGCCAGAGGACUUUGUUAUUGUUUGUGGUGCAACAAUAUUAGAAAUUUAGAAAUGUUGUACGGGUCUGUGGACAUUGAUUAUGUAAGCUAUUAAUCCAGUUAAUUCCGCCUUUCUUAUUUAUUGUUUGAUACUGCACUUUUCAAUUAAGCUGCUAGAGUUCCCUUUUAUAUUUGCUGUAUCUGUCCUAUUUUACAUUCUGCUGCCUGCCUACUCUUCUUUGUUCUCCAUUCUCUGCCCACAAACUUGCUGUGUUUUUGUUACGUUCUCUUCAAUUACCCCAUCAGGUAUAUUCUCAAGUAAUAUAUAAAUUUCUUUCUCCCUUCUUACAAUUUAUCCAUAUAGUUCUUCGAUGAUGGUUUUAAUUUCCUUUAACGAUAAGUAGAAGGUAUGUCAACAAGCACAAAAGUAAAAUGGUCCUAGAGAACAUCUAGUCCAGUAUCUUUGUUAGUUUAUUCGUUGCUAAAAUUUAUGCGCAGUAAUAUAUCAGUACACUAAUUGCACUUGCAUCGAAGUGUGGGGCUGCUUGUGUAUUGUUCUUGCACUUGGUAAUCUCUAAUUCGCAAACUUGCCAUAUUAUUGGUAUGUUGGGCUAACAUAUGAAAUUUAGAUGAUUUUUCGUGAUUGUGCAUUCACUUUAAGCAGAGUGUUGGUUUGAACGAUUCGAGGCUUGGAAUGGGCUUCUUAUCGUUGGUGUUUGGUUUAAAUCGAAUCUCCCAAAAAAAUUCCCACAUAGAGGUGAGAAUUAGUUUUGAUUUCAAAAAAUAUUGAGAAAUUUUUUUUUUUUGCCACUAAUAAUUAUUUGAAUAUAAAUAUUAUAAUUAUUUUUUAUUAAUAAUUAUUUAAAUUUAAAUAUGUUAAAUUAAAUUUUAAUUUUUGAAUUUCACUGCAUACAAGAUUUCGAUUUUGAUUCUUAUUGUGAAUCAAAAAAAUUUAGUUUCUCACUUUUAUUUUUGGUUCCUGAAGGAAAAGUAAAUUAAACUCCCUUUGUACUCAUCUUUUUUUGUAUCAUCGUCAGCCAAUUACUACAUGCUUUUUAUGUUGCUAUAGCAAUAUUAUCUUAAAAUGAAACAUGCUCAUCUUUUUGGUAGGGCGUCAUCAUUAGUCGCUGUUGGGCGCUUGGGCCUCUGCAUCCGAACAAGAAUAGUGAUACUGGUUCAAUGAAUCGGAUGAUAGUGCAUUAUUAAAUAUUAGUUUCUAUUAUAUUAAAUCAUACAUCUCGUGGACAAAUAGGAACACAUACAACAAUCAAUUACCGAAACCAAACUAUUGGCAAUCGAAAAUGGAUCAAAUUAAGCUGAAAUUGUCGGUUCAAUUUAACUUCAGAGUUUUAGUUUUGUUGUUUGAUUUGUCAGAUGACUUUCUUGAUGAGUUAAGUUAGAAUAUUCUCAAAAGCACCAAAAAAGUAAAAUAUUUUUGAAUUUUUAACCAUGGAAUGAAGAGAUGUAGAGUUGAAAUGGUGGUGGUAGGUGAUGGUGGGUAAAAUAGUAUUUGAUUUAAAGACUAUUAGUAAUUAAAAAGUAGAUCUAAGGGUUAAAAAUUUAGAAGCACCAACGAACUUAGGACUUUUAAAAAUAUUCAAGUUCAAUUUCUUUCUCAAUCUCCAUUCUUUUUCUGUGGAAUUUCGUUUGUUGUAAUCAUGUUUGUCAGUUGCCCGUCCCUUUUUAUUUUAUUUCAUUAUCCUUUGGUUGGUUGCGGGCAUGUGGGCCCCGCACAACACAUCAGCAAUAGGGGGGCGUUGCACAGUAGAGUUUUUUUGCGCUUGAGAAUUAGCUGCGGGGCUUCGAAGGCGACGGUCAGAUUGGGCGGCUCUCAUCGCCACAUGAGUUGUGCGCGCCUGUAUGGAUGAGAUAAGUCCGCAAUUUACGAUACUACCCUCGCGAUCUCUUUCAACGCACCACCAUCGUCGGCGGGCGAAAAGUGGGCCGGUCCAAAUUUGGGUCCCACCGUAGUCGGCGGCCCAUGGUUCCUUCUCCUUUUUUUCUUCUGCGCCCCUUGGAAUAGGGGCAAUUUGGGAAGAAAGUAAAAAAAAAAAAAAAAAAAAGGCCUCUCGGAUUAUCUGAAGGGCUGGAAUAUAAUAAUAAUAACCACCGUGAUAUACCACGGUCACGGGCCUUCGCCCUUCUGGCACGGGAUGUGGAGAAAUUAUUUACCGCACCGGGUGUAUGCGCUCGUCUCUACCACACCAUUCUAAUAAUAAUUUUUAAAAAACCAACCGGCAAAGGGCUUGGUGGUUGGUAUCCAAGACUCAAGUUCGAAUCUUAUUUGAUUCAUAUUUCUUGCUAAGUUUAUUUCUAAAUAAAAUAAACGAAGCAGAUAGCAUGCUAUCUUUCUCUAAAAAAAAAACAAAAAAAAAAUUCUAAAACUAGGUAGGAUUGUUUUAUAAUUUAUAAAAAAUGUAUAAAAAGUAUAGUUAUUUGAUAUCUGACUAUUUUCAUAAAAACAUAUGAUUGAUAGGUUGGAAUCUGAUUGGAUAUGCAAUGCACCACGUGCAGGCAAGAAUUGGGUGGUCUGGCUGAUCUGCGCUUGCUGGUCAGUGACAUAUCACGGCGACAGCGUGAAGCAGCAGCGUAUACAGUUCAAGCAAAGGCAACUCUGUAGUGUAGAUACGCACGAAGCAGCAGACCCACCACUUUCGGAAAUAUGAAAAGUCAAAAAAAAAAAAAAAAAGGAGAGAAAAUCCCAAGCAUUUGUGCCCGAUUGCGCGUGCCAACGCGGCGUCGUUGCCCCCCUUCGCGAUUACCGACCGACCGACUAGGGAGGGGCCUCCUUAAAUAAACGAAGCCAACCCCCGCCCCAAUUCCUCUUCUGUGCCUCUCGCUAGGUAGUAGGGGCCAUCUCCUCGAUCAUAUUCCCAAUCUCCUCCAAACCCUACUCCUAAUCCCCCACAAGGAAAAUCAUGGCUCAGCGAGAAAAAGAGGAGACGGAGCUCCAAGCCCCCGAAACCCUCACCCUCUGCGUCAACAACUGCGGCUUCUACGGCAACCCCGCCACCAAUAACAUGUGCAAAACCUGCUUCAAAGCCUCCGCCGCGUCCGCGUCCGCGUCCGCGUGCGCGUGCUCGUCCGCGUCCGCGUCCGCAACCAUCUGCUCCUCUCCGCCGCCCUCUGUCUCCGUCCCCGAGAAGCCGAGAGCGGAUCCGAAGCGGUCGCGUCCGGAUCCGGCGGCGGCGCAAGCGGCGAGGAAGGUGAAACGGUGCGCCCGGUGCACGAAGAGGGUGGGGUUGACGGGGUUCCGGUGCCGGUGCGGCGAGCUGUUCUGCGGGGAGCACCGGUACUCGGACCGGCACGCGUGCGUCUUCGACUACAAGACCGCCGGGAGGGAGGCCAUCGCACGGGAGAAUCCGCUGGUCAGGGCGUCCAAAAUCAUUAAGAUCUGAUCUCGGUUUCGAGGGGACCGUCUAAUUUGGAGCUUAAAUUCGGGACUUGGGAGUAAAACGAAAAGGAGAAGAUACAUAUAUUUUUGUUGGAAUUUGGAAAGAGAGAAAAAAAAAAAUAAUAGUAGUUUUUUACACACAAGAAGAAGAGGAAAAAAAACAAAAAAAACGAGAAAAGGUGCUUCAUUAGCGUUAUUGUGCUUGUGGACUCUUCUCUGGUAUCUAUCGAGAUGUCUAAAAUUUUAUAAUAUUCAGAAAUUUUGUGAUUCAAGUAGAAGAGAAAUAACGCGGUGGAGAUAUUUCGUUUGGUAGUCUGAAAGUUUUAGUUGUUUCUGUGCUACAAUAUUAAAUGAAAAGAAUUCGUCCGAAGGUCAAAGAAUCAGAACAAUACCAGCAAAAGUAAAAGAGGUUUAUAAUGGCGCACGCACCUUAAGAGGGCCCUCUGCAGUGCUCAUGAUGAGUCAUUCACAUAUAUAAUUUUUUUUUUCUUUUUUCUCUUUUACAGCAUUCUGUGAGGGAGAGAGAGAGAGAGAGAGAGAGUGCGGAAAAGAUAUCAAUCUAUCAACUUUUUUUUGUUCAAAUAAAUUUAGUUAAAAUAUAAAAUAAUUAAUAAUUAAAUUUUUAAUUUGAAAUCUUGAGUAUUAACUACCAGAUUUUUUACCAAUUGCUUUAGAUAGGAACAGUCUCUGUUGCACUGUUUUAGCUGCAGCUGUAGGGUAUAUCUCUAUACAUUGACAAUUAUUAUUUGUUUUGUAUAUUCUUAAGCAGUCCGGCAUACCAGUUGCUCAUCAUUAAUAUAUAGCACACUAAUUAUGUUAAAGUUAGAGAACACAUAAAUGAUGAAGAAUGCAUCAAUAGAUACUGGCUAGCUUAGUCCAUCAUGCCAGCUGACUACCACAAGAAGUUCCGGCAUGUAACAAUUUACUUUGCGACCCAAAAAAACAAGAAAAAGGCAAAAAGGGUUGAAAACUCCAUGUAGAGCCCAUUGGGCUGGUUGUCGGUUUUAAUUCCUUAAAUAAAGCUUGGGCUUUCAUCUGCUGAUCGUCCAAAUUUGUUUUCGGGGCCUCCGCAUCAGAGCUAGUGGGCUCAGGCCUGCCCUUAGGUCCCACAUAUCCCAAACUAUGAACUUCUUUCUAUAUUCUGCACCCCUCGCGAUGAACGACGAACAUCCCCGAUGAUCGCGCCCCAACUUGACCGGGCAAUUUCAAGGAAGAAGCGAAUGGUGCGGCGCGCCGUCCAGAAGAAUAGGAAGUGAAAUGAAUCAAUAAAACAGGCUGAUGCAGUUGUUCUAAUUCUACAGUUUUACUUUCCAAGUCAGAAUGUUUGGCGUGAAAUUUCAUAGCUAAGCCAGUUUGACCGGCUGGUUUCAUCCGAUUUUUAAAACAUUGUUUACGUGCUGCGGGUAAGGGCCUGUUGGUCCAUGAAGGCCAUGUUCGAGCCUAAUAUGCUUUGGGCUGGACCUAUAAGUUUAGCAGGCCCCUUUGGAAAAUCUGGCCAAUUUGCAACCUAGGCCUAGGUGAGACGCGAUUUGAAGGCCCAAUUAGGAGAGUUGCGCAUCAAAUCAACGAGUCAGAACUUCCGGUUCGAGCCAGGUGUAGACCAGAUUUACUCUACCCGACACAUCUGCACCGACACGAGCGAAGGGCGUUCACGUGAUGGCUACUUGCGUAAUUUCACGUCGAAGUUUCGGUUUCCUAUAUAAACCCUGUGCUCUCGCAUCUCUAGGGUUUCUUCUCCAGCCGCAGCUCUUGUUUUGCGGUUGUUGGAUCGAGCGAGAGAGAGAGAGAGAGAGAGAGAGAGAGAGAGCGGGGGGGAGCUCGGAGGCGGCGACAAUGGUGGAGAAGGCGAGCAAAGGUAGGAAGGAGGAGGUGGUGACGCGGGAGUACACCAUCAACCUCCACAAACGACUCCAUGGAUGGUAAUCGCCUUUCUCCCCAUUAUCUCGCUUUGGAUUUGUUUUGAACUUAUCUUUUUUCUGUGACGGAGCGAUCGCAGUUAUCUGAAAUUAAGGUGGAUAAAAUGAUGUUGUUCGGAAGCAAUCCUUUUUUGCUAGUUAUUUUCUUCCAUUUUUUUAGGUGUAAUUUGAUUUAUUUUACCAUAUAUAUUUGUUUUGAUUAAGUUCUGUAUGCAGAUAGAUUAAUGGUAAGCUGUGCACUUUGUUCUCCUCUUACGAAAGAGAGUUCUAUUGGAUAUGUAUAAUUGUAGGAGGACGGAAACUUGAUAAAAAGCUCGAGUUCAUGUGGUGCUUAGGAUCUUAUUUUGGCUCAUUAUGAAUCAUAGAUCUAAUCAGAAUGUUGGUGUUGGAUGAUCAUAUAUUCUAGAUAAUAAAGGUUAAAAAUGUGUGGAUACACCCUCAGUUAUGUGUCAUUUUGGGAUAAACAUUCUAAACACUCUUCAACUCUUUUGUUGUGUUGAUUAAUUUGGAGAUUCUGUCGAAGUUAACCAAUCCAUUAGUUAUGCCCUGUUAAUUAUCAACAGAAUCUACAUUCCUGACAGCUGAAAAGCCAAUAAAAUCUCCAAUAACACUAACUCUAAAUGACUUAAAUCAAGUCAAUAUGUUGAGAACUUGAGAUACAUAGUUUGACAAUCUCUUAAUUUUCUCAGUCGUGAGAUUCGUCGAUGCCUCACAUUUUUUCAGCAAUUGUAUUUUCAAUGACUGGAAGUUGUUGUAUGCUUGCAAGAAUUGGGAAAUUUGUAUAGACUGCUAUGGCGAGUAUGAUAACUGUUUAACUUGGCACAGAUAAGUGUCUAUAUUUUUUCAGGAAGAAAAAAUACAAAAAAUUUCGGAGAAAGAGUACAUAAUUGGGUCAAACCAAAUAGGGAACUAUUGUAGUUUUACUGGAGGGGACUCUAAUGGUUGCAAAUAUUGGUGUGGUCUUGGAAACUAGAUCAAACUAAAUAGACUUCUUCUAUCUUCUCUGUAAGGAGGGUUCAAUUAUCCUCUUUUCUGGCUGAAGGGUUUUAUUAAUUUUUCCGAAAAAGCACAAUAUUUCCUUUGCAAUGAUAUAUACAUACUGGCUUUUAUGUGUAACUUUUGACUUGUCAUGCUGUGCGCUGUGGGAGAUAUUGAGAACAUAUAACACCACCUAGCAGUGACUACUUAUAAGAGAGGAUUGAGUAUUCUUGUAGAGGAUAACUGGUUGUAUUUUAUUUGUUAUCUUCGAAAUCAAUAUAGUUAAUGCAAGCUGCGUGCUCAGUGCUCACUCUCUUUUUCGAGCAGCACUUUUAAGAAGAUGGCUCCCAAGGCAAUUAAGGAGAUAAAGAAGUUCGCGGAGAAGGCGAUGGGCACCACUGACGUGAGAGUCGAUGUGAAGCUCAACAAGCACAUAUGGAGCAGAGGGGUUCGAAGCGUACCGAGGCGGGUCCGUGUUAGAAUCGCACGUAAGAGGAACGACGAGGAGGACGCCAAAGAAGAGCUCUUCUCUCUGGUUACAGUUGCUGAGGUCCCUGCGGAGGGGUUCAAGGGCUUGGGGACCAAAAUUGUCGAUGACGAUACAGACUAAGUUAUCUUUUGCUUCUAUCUUUUGUUAUGGUUAUCUAGGUUUCGCGUGCUAGCGUCUGCCUUGGCGAAAAUUUUGGAUUCAUUAAUGAAUUGAUGGACGAUAAAUUAAGGCUGUAUUAGAGAUGUUUGAGAAGUUAUUCUCCUCUCAUGCUGCACAUUCCUGUUUAAUUGUUUUUGAGCUUUUAAGUCGAACAAAUCGAAGUUUUAUUCAACUGUUUACGUCUUCAGCUAGUGAUUGCAGUCCACGUUACUUGUCAACUUUUGGUAUCCUAAUUAUUCUUUGCACUCCUCCACUGGUGGAGGGAAAAAUUAUUGCUUGUGUCUGGUGCGUCGGUACAUUCCUGAACCAUGUUUCUGUUGUCCGUGAAUUCUAUCUGGUAUUUUAAUUUCUUCUCUUCUCAACUAAGUUAUACCAGUUCCUUAGAAAUUCGCAGAACGCCAGUUAAUGGCUUUCUUUCACGGUAAGUACAGGUAAGGACGUCCGUGCUUUGUAUAAUGUUGACGUCGAGUGUUCAAUUUAAAAGUUCAAAACUACAGUAAUAAUUGUUGUAUAUAUAGCCAUUUUGUAAGAACAAUGUGAAAUAUGAUGGAAUUUGCUCACGAUGUGUAUGGUGGUUGUAUAAAGAGGGUUAAAGAGCGAGUUUUUCAUCAUGUUUCUAUAUAUCUACCAUUAUUCGUAUUCUCUCUAUCUGUCUCUUUGGUUUUCAUUUUUAUCCUCUUUUCUUCUCUUACUUAGAAGUAAUGACCAAUAAUCGCCUCGGGGCAUUGGAGCAAUUUGCUUAAUUUGGUAGUGCUUAAUAGGGGCAGGUCCAUGCUCCAUAAGAACAUCUUCUUUCAGCUAAAAAAUCUAUCAUUUAAGAGACAGUCGGAUUAUACAAUACAAUUUUUUAUACAAUAAUUGGCGUAACUCAGUGGGGAUACACCCUUCCCGCUUUAUAUGAUUUCUACAGCUUCUUACAAGGCAUACCAUUUAUAUAUAAUUUUUAUUUUAACUGACACGAGUAAAGAGGUGCAUUCACCUGAGGCGAGAAUCUAUCAGUGCGUUGCUAAAAAUAGCUCAAAAAAUUUGUAGGCAAACGAAGGGACGGGACAAAUUAAAACACUGUCGAGCUGUUUCAGGACAUUGAUUUUCUAACCCAAAAAUGCUCUGCAUACUACUUACAACUUCGAUAUCAUUUUAAACGUCGUGUAAUUUAACGAUUGCUCAUAUGUGCACCUAUUAUGUAAUUAACUAUGAUUAUAUAUGCGCAUUCGUAAGAUGAUGUAGAAGUUGUUAGCAAACACAGCGUUGCUUUUUCUAAAAUUUACAACUUCCUCUAUAUAUUUAAACAGGCAAUCUCUAUCCACACAGCAUGAACUAUUUAGCAGAGACCCCGAAAGCAUUUCCAUAAUACAGGUCUUACUAAUCAAUCUAUGGAAGAAGAUGCAUUGACACACUAAUCUAUAGAACUAGGCUGAAAUGCUAUCAAUAACACAAAACUAUUGGUGCUAUUAAUUUUUUAGCCCUUGAAUUAAAAAAUAUACGGUUAGGAUGAUGUGGGCCCUCUAGGAUUGAGUGAGUGGUUGGUUGAAUAGUACAAUCUAACGAGUAAAAAUAAUCAAAGAAGUUAAUCUAACAAUAAAAAACUUGAUAAUGCCAAGUGCUUGGUGCUAUCGACAGCAUAGCAACCAGACUCCUAAUCUCUAUUAUAUAGUUAAUAUGUUUAUAAAGUAAUUUUUAUUAUAAUAACUCCAGAAUAAUUACCCGCUUUGUUUUAAUUUUUUUAAAAAAAUAUAUAAAUUUAAUUAAAUUUAAAAUUUAAAAUUUAAAAUUUAAAAUAUUGAUAAUUUAAAUUUUUUGACGCUUGCGUUAGAUAUGGUUGGUAAUUUGUCAGUGGAUCGUGAACAGGAGUUGAAUGAAGUAUCUCUCUUUGUUACAGUGUUAGACUUGAGUGGCGACUGUUGAGUGGCAGUUCAAGUAGUAUGAGGCAGCUUCGGGGCGUUUUAGCAGCAGCGGCAGCAUAAGCGCCGCAACAUAAGCGGCUGGGAUUGGGACUAAUAAGCUCGCUCUGUGGGGCUUCUUAUAUCGAACGCAGAGGAAGCCACUUCCGUUCCAUGGCUAUGGCUUUUUGAUUUUUUGAAGCAGCCCCAAUCCUCUAGAGGAUUCCAGGUGCUGCUUCUAAUUGCGAUAAACGGUAAAACCAAUAUCCGGGAGUUUUGAGCGUCGAAACCCCACGAAUCUCCGCAGGAAAGUUGAAGACGACGAAGAAGAAGAAGAAGAAGAAGAAGAAGAAGAGAGGGGAGGAGAGAGAGUGAUGUACGGAUCUCCUCAGGGAGCGGGCACGCGGAAGGAUCUGAGCGGUCCGUUCCCACCGGCGUCGGCAUCGGAGGACUCCGACCUCCUCCUGCUCCACCGCCAUCACGAGCAGCAGCAGCAGAUGACGAGCUCCGGGUUGCUCCGCUACAAGUCGGCGCCGGGCGCCCUGCUCGGCGAAAUCGGCGACGACUUCUUCAACCCCGCAGCGGAGAGCGUGUUGAGCGACUUCUGGGACAAUUCGUCGAACAGUUUCCGGGCGCCGGAGCCGUCUCCGCAGCAGGAUCUCAUCCGCCAAACCAGCUUUCCUGCCCCACCCUUGCACUUCAACGUAGAAAAAGGUAUUCUCUCUCUCUCUCUCUCUCUCUCUCUCUCUCUCUCGCCCUCGCCCUCUCCCUCUCCCUCUCCCUCUCCCUCUCUCUCCGAAAAUUGUAAAAGGUUUACCCGAGAUUACAUAUACGACUCCGGCUCAUCAGAUGCAGUAACAAAGUAUAGAUUGAUGCCUACUGUUCAUCUCCUAUGUUAUUUUGAUAUCCAUGCAUAAAUUAACUUUUUAGCGACUUACUUUGGCUGCUUAGGACCCGGUCACAGCAGAGGCGGUGGCGGCGGUGGCUGCAGGACUUAUAAUCCAGUGGGUUUUCCCAAUAACAAUAACUCGUUGGAUCAAAACCGCUCGGGCCCCAGCCCUUCAGAUCUCCAGGCAUAUCAAUUAGUUUUCUCUCUCUCUCUCAAUCAAUCGUCUUUCGUAAGAGAUUUAAAUGGUUGGUUCUUACACUAUCUGAUUCUUCAGGAUCAGAAUGUAGGGGUGCAGAAGCACCAGGAUUUUGAGCUGGCCCACCAGCUCAGCCUCCCGCUGACCUCAUCGGAGUUGGCCGCCGCGGUCGACAAGUUCGGUCGGCAGUUCCAGGACGCAGUCCCUUGCAGGAUCCGCGCCAAGAGAGGCUGCGCCACCCACCCGCGGAGCAUCGCGGAGAGAGUACGUAAUUAUGCGUCGUUGGUUUCCCGCCAAUCAUUUCAAAUUCUACCUGCGGAUCGAUUGACAGGCUUAUAAUUUUGUGCUUCGUUCAAUAUUCAUCUGCGAACUUGCAGGUGCGGCGAACUCGGAUCAGCGAGAGAAUGAGGAAGCUACAGGAGCUCGUUCCCAACAUGGACAAGGUUGGUUCUUGGUUCUUAUAUAGAUAUAUAUUUGUAUACAUAUAUAUCCAAUGGAACAGUAACUUGUUGCAAAUUUGAUCAAGUAGAAUUAACAUUACGUACUCUGACUUUUUUUUUUCCUUUCCUUUUUUGGUGAUUGGAUGAAUAGCAGCAAACGAGCACUGCCGAAAUGCUAGAUUUGGCCGUUGACUACAUUAAAGACCUGGAGGAGAAAGUCAAGGUAAGUGUAUACGUUGAAGAUGUAAUCCCUUUCCAUCGUGUGGUAGUGCUGUGCGUUUGACAAUGUCUCUGGUUCUUGAAGACGUUGAAGGAGAGCAUGUUUGGAUGCACGUGUUCUUCUAGCAAGAGCUAAAGCCCUAAAGCCCUGCUCCAAAACAAACACCAUGGAUACGGAAGUCAACGCAAUAGCAAGCGCCAAGCAGUGCCGACACAAUUAUAUAUCAACUGCUGAAGGGAGAUAUUCUUAAACUUGGUCGCCAUUCGCUGUUGAAUUUGACUAGAUUUGAUGAAUCGGAUUUGUGGUAGCAAUAACUCUCUUAACGAUGUUAUCCCGUAAAGAUGGCACUUAUCUUGAACUUCUCGUAUGUAUAUCAAUCCAGACUAGCUAUCGACCGAUAUUUAUCGUUGGUUCAAAACUGAAAUGUCAAGAUAAAAAUUGAAGAAUGGAAUAGAACGGACACUACACGAAGUUUUCUUAGGGCUAUCUGUAGAUAGUACAGAAGUGUUUUGAAAGGAUAGAGAUUGGUGAGCUGAACAAAUGUAUAGUGUUUCUUGCUUUGGUAAGUUGAAUGCAUCUGCCACCAUGUUGUGUGUAUAUAUGUACCUGUUUCAAGUAUUAAAGUUCGUUGAACACUAGCUUCUUUUGUACAUCACCGCACGUUUCUUUUUUCCUUUUUUUUUUUUUUUUUUUUUUUUUUUUUUUUUUUGGCUCUAUAUGUCCGGUGUCUGAACGUUGAGAAUUCUCUUGCCGUGGAUGGCCUAACAUGAUCUAAUACUCCAAGUAUUAGUUCACCACAAUGUCUUGGUUGGACGGCAAUUUACCUUUUGCCUUGCAAAAAAAGCUAUGUAUGUACAAGCUUACACAUCAAAUGUCUACUUCAUUUUGGUUGGGGAUAAGACAUACAUUUAUUAACAACGACUAUCAUCUUGGAAACAAUUUUCAGACUCUUGAAAAUUAAGACAUUUAGACGCGCCUUCCGGAGCACUUAAUGUAUUACGCAACAGAACUCAAUUUUGUUUUGAAAUUAACAAAGAAUUAUCCAGUUGUCCCAUACGGGGACCUAAUGAGUUUCUUUUCCUCGUGAAAAUGGCGUCAAAUUUUGAACCAAAUAUGUCUAUAAUCUUUCUCAAAAAAAAAAAAUGUCUAUAACGAAGAAUAACUCUGUAAAAGCCACCGCAAAUACCCAUCUCAAAGAAUACUUUGCAUAAGAUCAUGACGGGUCAAAAAAGUAAUUAACAUUGGAAUUGCGGUUGUGACUUGUGAACGGCAGUGGAAGGAGGUCAAGAUCAGAACAGCCGUAUUUCGCAAUCUCUCUGCCCUCUUCGAAGGGGAAAUACAUGAAAAGGCCACAAAAAAAAAAAAAAGGGAAAAAAAAGAUGACCUUUCCUUUUUUCUUGUUCCCUAUUGGUAUCGGCAGCAGCAACGUAGUACCAAAGACGACUGCCGUACAUACACAUAAAACAGACUCUAAAUCUUCGAUUUUCUCAUUUAAAAAUCUAAACCUUUUUUUAAGUUUUCAAUUUUAAUAUAAAUAAAAAUUGAUUAUAUUGGUGUUAAAAUGUAAAUCAUUGGAUGAAUAAACAGUAAGAUUUAUAUUUAGUUCUUAUGUGUACAUAUAGCAUUGCUCAGUGUGACAUACAAAAAAACAAAAAACAUGCUGGAAGUACUUUCAAUUGCUAACACCCCUUGUAUUAUGUUUUCUACUAAUGAAAACUUAAUACUUUUUAAAACAUAAUUUAAAAAUUGAGAUUGAAAGUACUAAUCAAUGAAGGUUUAAUCCAAUCGACAGAUGAAGCAAUUAUGGUGAUAGAGAGAAGGAGACAGAGACUGGGCGGAAGUGCUCGGUAAAAGAUAAAGGUAGAGGGCAAUGAACAAAGGAAACACACGAUGGAAGCGGCAUCAAUACCUUUCAUCAUACGCGCAUACAUCAAACUUUUCUAUAUAUUGAAGUAAAAAAAACCAGAUACAUGAUAAAUAAAGUCUAAAGCUUCUUAGUAAUGCAACAAAAUAAAAAAGAAUAGAAAUGAACAUAAGAUGCUAAAGAAUACAAGCCCUAAUUUAUAGCUUUAGUAAAAUGAACUUCAUAGUUCUACUUUCUGCAGUAUGUCACGGCACAAAGAUUUUCUCCGCGAUUUCGCUUUGCAAUCACCCAAACUCCAAAGCGGACAUCUGACGGAGGUUUUGGCUUGGAACCUUCUGGAAGCUUCUACGUGGAUCUCGAGGCUGAUUGGCGCGGAUGCCGAGGAGUCAAGAGUCCCUUGGGGUUUCUAGGCAAUAAAUGUAUGACUCUUAGAAUUCCUAUGCAUAUUUAUUAUGACUCUUGGAAGACCGUAGCGUAUUUAUUGGCCUCCCCUUUUGGCUUGUAGUUUCAUACCAUUUGGCAUCUUUUCAUUGGCUUUAUGGGUGGCGAGUGGCCUAUAUAUAGUGUGGCCUCCACCCCCUCUCAUUUCAGAAUCUACUUUGUAUUCUCAAGUUGAAGUAAUAGAAUAGCUUUCUUCUUAUCUCUCUCUUGUACUUAGUCUAGGGCGAGUGAGGUCCUAACUUGUCGAGUAGAGAGGCAGGCUUGCUCACUUCGCGAAGGAAGGCGAGCGCCGCACGGGCUUUUGCGAGCAAAUUCGUUAAGUCCGUGACAAGUAGCUCCUUUUGAAGAUUCAAAAAUCAAAAAGCACGCUAGGAGAUGAAAACCUACGGCGUAGAAGUAUCACGCAUGAUGCUUUUCCAGUAUAAAGAUUCCAACAAUUAUUUUUUAUGAUUGGACGAGCGCAAAUUAAAGUUAGUUCCAAUGGUUUUUGUGAAUAUCUAAAGCAGCAACAUUUUACUCCUUGGAAAAGGCAUUCAAAAGCAGAACCAUUUGAUAUAAGGACUGAAGGGCAAAGAACAGAAAAAUGAAAGAAAAUGAUAAUACAAAAAAACACACCUACAUCAUAAUACAAAUGCAAAACCAUUUGGUUAUGCAGGUCCGAGAACAUGAAAGCGCAAGUCUCUCUAUUUGUUUGUCCAUGUCAAAGCAGGUUAAUACUUUUAUAAGUAAUAAGCACUCAGAAGGCCCUUUCUUGGCCAAUGACUGAGAAGGGAUUUAAAAAUAAUAUAAUAAUAAUAAUAAAGAAGAGGAAGAAGAAGAUAGAGAAAGUAGAGGGAAGAAUUUUUUUUUUAGCCCGAAGGGUAUUUCCUUCCACUGUUAAGUGGUAAAGAGCUUUUAUCCUGCUGUGAUUUAACAAAACUGAAAAAUAUAAAUCUCAACAGAGUCGACUGAUGUAAUACCCGACACUGAAAACCCCAAAAUUCCCAGCCAAAACAAGUCUUGGCCUGCAAUGAAGAAUCAAUCGAACUUAGCCAUCGACGCCAACAUAAAGUUCUACUUUGUUCAAACAAGAAUUGGAUUUGUCGCAUAGCACUAUUAUCAUCAGCAUCAAAAGAAAACAGGAAAAGAAAGAUUCAAAGGUAAAAUAUGCAUAAGAAGGUAAACUCAGGUGCAUACCUCUUUUAUGAUCAAAGACGUACCUUAGUGUACCGUUGCAUACCAGGAGAAUAAGAUUGCACAGCACCACAAAAUAAAAAAAAAAAGAAUUUUCUGGCUACCAAAUUCGAGAAAGAUGCUUCCCUAGGCUGAUACAUUCGAAAAAUGAUGCAUCACCUUUCAAGUAGUUGGAUACAUAGAAUGAAGUGAAGGACAACUCGUAAGUCAACAACUAGAAAGAUCAAAGAUUAGUUCGACUCUCUGGUUCCCAAGGGGAAUGCUCUUGUUAUUCUGAUUCUUUCCACAAGCCCUCUGAAAGUACCAGCCUAUUAUACCUAGCCCUUUCCCCACACUUACCUUCGCUCAAAAUGUAAGUUUUUACCACACUUUAUAAAAUGAAAUACAAACUUAUUUUUCUUUUUAUAAAAUGAAAUACAAAUUUUUUUUUCUUUUUUCUUUGUUUUUUUUUUUUUUUAAGGCAAGACUACUAUCUUUGACACAAGAGGUCACAACCAGUGUAGAGGUCAAGAUGGCAGAAAAGAUAGGCAAUUCUCUAAUCUACCAUCUUGUACUCUUCUGCAUUAUACACAUACAUCUUCUCUUUUUGACUCUAAGUUGACCUAUCAAAUCUUUCCCAUAAAAACCAUUGCCAAAUAUUUCUCCAUUCAGACUGUGCUGCGAGUCAAUUGUAGAUAUUAGUUAUACAGAAUGAGCCAGUACUACACAGUAAACAGCAACAAUUACGUAUUUAGUCCCUCUACCUACGAGUGUUUUCAGUAGUACCGUAUUUUGCGAUGAUGAUGUUGACUUUCUUCUCGCGUAUAUUAUCUUCGAAAUAUGAAACUAAUCUACUCAAAACUUCCAUAUUCUCGGUGGAGAUCACUGAAGUUCUCUCAUGAAACUGUAACUUAAAAAAAAAAAAAAAUCAUAGCCAGUCCUGCGUAAAGAAUGGCUUUAUAGCCACUAUGGCCCUAAUCUGAUGUUAUCUAACUCCUUACUCCUGACCGCACGAACCUCCACACCAGCACAAAGAGACAAACAACCUCUUUAAUGAGAUAAAAAAAGGGAGAAGAAAAAAGCUUUGUGAACAUAAUAAGCAAGCUAUCAUGAUGUGUUUCUACACCCGGCAAAAAAAAUUCCAACUUCUGGUUGUGAUCAAAAGUUCGUCAAACGUACUUCCUAAAUCUGAAGAAUCAAGAGACACUCCAUAUGCGACAACCUUAAAUUUCAUUCUUAUAGGAAGAUGGUUGGGCAAAAAUAACCAAACUGAAAUUGAUGUUGCAAAUCUUAUCCAAAGAGAAAUGCUGUUACAGAUAUAAAGUCCAGCAGCCUCAGUGAAGGCAAUCAAAUUCAUGCAAAGAGGAACAAAUGGAUCAAAAUUUUUAAAUCUAUCACAACGAUCAAGAAUGGAUUGACGAGAAGCCCUUCUGAAACAGGCAUCGCCUGAGAACAAUUGUGAAUGUUAAAUCAGCAAUAUCUCAUUGUGCAUCACCUCGAGUGCCAGAGCUGACAAUAAGGCUAACAAAAUGCUGCUUUAAUUCUUAAAGGAAAUCACAUAUAAAAUAAUAGAGAAUACACUUACUAAUAUAACAGCAGAAAAUUUCUAGUUCUAGGGACUUUAGAACCGAGGUAAUAUUGUUGUAUCUGCAUUAGCUUAUGAGACAGGAAAGCUUCAAAAAGCAGAAUCUAAGCAGCAUAACCUCUUCUAACCAUACCAGUCUGUUCAAAUGUUCUAUGAAAAAUGCAUAUCUAGUAAGAAAGAAGAUGGAUUAAUCUAGAAGAUCAGAACUGCUAGUCUCAAUGCAGAGCAGGAGAUAACAUUAUGAAACUUUUUUUUAACACUGAAGCGAUAACUGGUGAUCACACUUGAUGGGGAUCUUAGGUUACAUUUGGUUGCUAGAGCAAGUUAUUCAAUAAUGUCUUGUGCACUAUAGGGUGCUCUUUUGUGAUUGCAAUCUAGGAUUUUGCCAUUAGUCUAUUGCAAGGUUGCCUGCGAGAUUCUUAAUCUGCGAAAUUACUUAGAGGUCGCUUAUACUAUGCUGUGGUAGAUAUUUAAUCAUUUCUUUUGAGGACAAUGAUAGACAUUUAAUCAUACCUCCCAUCUACCAAUUACUGCAAGGCUCUUAAGAAACAAUAGAGAUGUAGUAAAUAAGAAGUUUAGCGGUCCGAACACCCCCUGCAGAUCUCAUCAUCGUACAAAGGAUUAGGUCUACAGCAUGAUGACACCGAACUUUGAGAUCAUUGUACUACGGAUUAUGCCUAAGAAUAAGCACAUUAUGAUGACAUUCAACAAAAGUUAAGCACAUAAUGAUCACCAGAGACUCUCCAAACUUUCAGAUAUUGUAAGGAUUUCCAGAUUCCAUUCGACAGCUUGACCAAAUAUUCCAUACGGACACUAUUAACCAGUUGCACCAUACUUUUCAUAGCACCGAACAAUUAUAAACAACUAUAAUAAUAAAAUCUCCAGAAUUAAGUACAAAUCCAAAAAUAUUAAGAUAUAAAAAAGUGAAUUAAAGGAAAGUUCUGCAGUAUAACCAAUAGAACUAAUAGCUAAAAAAAGAGAUGAUAACAAAAAGAAAAAAAAGGAAAAAUGCACGCGAUCGCCGAUUAAAAUUAUGUAAAAUGAUAGCGGAAUUCGGGAAAAUCAUACGGAUGAAUAUAAGAGAAACGCAGAUAAAAACAUACCGAAAAACCAAAAUGCGGAAUCCUAGCGGAAGCGCACGGGUCAGAAGUAGAGCGCCAUCUGGAUGUUCCUCUCCUCGAACCCGCACUUCUCGUAGAAGCCCUUGAGCUCGGGGGUGCAAUCGAGGAUCACCUUGUAGCAUCCUGCGGCCUUCGCGUAGUCCGAGAGGUAGCGGAGCACGCGGUGGCCGAGGCCGAGCCCGCGCGCGGCGGCGUCGACGACGACGUCCUCGACGUGGCCGACCUUGCCCCCCCCGCGCAGGAACUUCCUCUCGACGAAGACGCUCCCCGUGGCGACGAUGCGCCCGGAUCGGGGGUCUUCGGCGACGCAGACGAGGUGAUCGUCGCCGAGGGCCGCGAGCUCGCCGAAGCGAUCGCGGAAAUCAUCGGCGGAGAGGGCGGGGCAGGGGCUGAGUUGGCCGAGGAGCUCCACGAAGCCCUUCGCGUGGUCGGAGAUCUCGAGGCGCCGGAUCGGGAGGAGAUCUCCUUCUCCUCCAGCGACGGCGUCUACCUCCGCCGCUUCGGCCGCCGCCGCCGCCGCCGUGGCGGAUCCGUUCUCCAUCUUCUUGGCGUGAGGAGGAAGAAGAUGAGGCGAUUCGAGGAGCGGGGAUGGAGGAGUGGAACCGUGUACGGAUUGUGAACUGUUGCGUCCUUUAUACCUUCUUCGAAUUGUGAACUGUUGCGUCCUUUAUACCUUCUUCGAGAGGAAUAAAAGAAAUAUUAAAAAUAGCCUCCUACGGGGUUCGCGAAAAUCCAACGGUGUAACUUUAUUCUUUUUCUUAAUUAAUUUUAAUUUAACAAUAACGCGGGAGAGUAUUAGCGAAGUGCGUUACGCCGACCGCCUGCGGGCUCCGGGGCUCCUGGGACGGAAAUGUUUUUUUAUAUCAGACUUGUUGUGCGAAUUAUAGGCGAGACCACAGUCACACACGUGAUGUCCAUACGCUAAUGUUUUCGUUUUAAAACGUAUUUUUUAUUUAAUUAAGUUCAAUUAUCAUUAUAGUGCAAUCUAAGUGCAAUCACUAUAUGAUGAAUAAAUAGUGAGAACAUGUACACUCAACCUGAACGAUAGAUUAUUUUUUAAAAAAAAGUAUAAACUUUACGAACGAGUUUUGAAAUUAAAAAAAAAAACGACUCAAAAUCUUUAAGAUGAGGCACUUUUCACAUAAAGCCUGUCUAUAUCAAUACUUCUCCACUACUUGCAAAGCCACCCGAUGCGGCGACGGGUGCCAAACCGAACACGAGUAGGAGGAAACCAAACACCUGACCACCUCUCUGCUUGCGUUUGUGCGCCAUGCUGUGCUUCCCAACGCUGAGCCAAACACCCACUGUAGUCCAUUAAUUUGUGUUUUCAGUUACAAUAAAUUGGGCUGGAUCUGGCUUGAUUAUAAUGGGCCAAGCACAGGAUUUAGGCCCCACACUCUACUUACGGGCCCCCAAUGGGCCGUUAACAAAGCUGACCCAGAUUCGGCCCAUUUGCAGCUCUAAGAUAAACCAUUAUUAGAUAGAGUUACUGGAAGGAUGACGUGGCAGACCGUUAGGAAUGCACCGCGUCACUCAUACGUUCUGCUUCCCCUUGUAAGCUGGCUUACGUGGACGGACGCUGCAUUGAUAUCAUUGAUGUUAAAUAAAAUAAAAAUUUUAUUAUUAUAGGUAUAUAAAAGUUUUUAAUUAAAUAUUUUUAUCCUACCCUCUUGGUCUUGUGACGUCAAACAAGCAAGAAACGUUAACUAAAUACUUUUUCCCACAAUUUUUAUGCGCCAAUUUGUUGACCUACAAGUAAUAAUGACGAGAACAAAAUUAUAAAAUGUCUAAAUAAAAACCUUCUUAAAUUGCUAUCGGCCAUAGUGCACGUCAGUAACUGCGUGCAUUGCUUUCCGUGCUUGCGCACUUGUUGAAUUGGUUAUUAACGUGCUGGAUUAGCCGUCCAAUUUUUUACUUUGCAAGUUUGAUCGUACGGCCCAAAAUUUCCCGCGUACUUACUGUUAGAUCCCUUCUAUGCGUCGUUCGUCGCACGCCUGUACUUAUUUCCUACUUAUUUCCACGUCGCGUGCCCCUUCCUUGCUUAGAAAAAAUACAAACCGUACCGAGUCUUGUUCCUACUGGGUACGCUGAUCCAACGGUUGGGAUUGAAUCCUCAAUGCAUCACGCGGCCCGGACUUCCUACGCAAUCGUCCACGCGUUUCUAACGAACGGCCCAAAAAACUUAUUGCCUGCCUUGGGUGCAUUCUCACAAUCCGUAGACCGUCGUGGCAACGGCCAUCGAACGGUACGAAUUGAAACUAACGAUGGAAUGGAGGAUGAUAGAUGGCGGGUGUACGGUGUGUAUGGAUGAGCUUUGUGCAGCCAAAAUUUCGUCUUCGAAAAGGGCCGAGAAAAUCGGCACCGGCCCAUUAAAAAAUAGACCGCUCCUACGUGCAAUUCGCACGCAGAAGCCCAUUUCCACGAUAAUCUUAUUCAUCUACAUUUAACACUUCUCCGAUUCCAGCUUACGUCGGGAAUCUCCAGAAUUUCCCAUUUCGCAGAGAGUGGAAUCUUCUGAUAUUCUGGCGAGAGUUUUAAUUUUACUUAUUAUUAGACUUAAAAAAAAAAAAAAAGAUGGUUCGUCGUUUUCCUUCUUCUCCUCCUCCGCCUUUGAGGAUAUUUACAUGCGGAGGAGAAGGAGAAGGGGAGAUCGUGUGCUUAUAGAUUCGUGGGAAGGAGUGGGCGCUAGAUCCUCGCUUCGCACGUGAUCUGCGAAGAGGGAGUGAAAAGGUGGUGUAGGGGGAGGCGAUCGAGUGCGUGGCGGGGAGCUCGAGGGCGGAGGAGUGGGGCGGGGGGGAGACGCCGCAAACGGGGGACGUGGUGGAGGAGAUCACGAUCGGGGCGGCGGCGGUGAUGAGGGCGCCGUUCAAGGGGGGGAGGGGCGGGGUGGAGAAGCUGCUGCACGCGGCGUACAAGCGCGGGAACGCCUGCAUCGUCCCCAGCGGGCCCCUCGGGCGCCGCCGCUACGUGCUCCGAUCCAUCCACGACCCCAACUACGCCGUCGCCUUCGUCGACCGCUCCGAGGGCGAGUGCCUCGUCCUGCAGGGUAAGCCCCCUUUCCGCCGCUAUUUACCAUUUUGCCACGCCACUACUGUACUAUACGACGAGGUUAACUGAUCUUUCUUUCUUUCUUUCUUUCUUUUUCUUUUUUGUGUUUUAGAGAUGAAGUUAAUUUUACUUGAUUUUGCUUUUAUUGGCAAAUUUACCAAGUCCGGUUGGAAAGUGCGAGUUACCAACUUCUUUUCACAAAAAAAGAAAAAGCUUUUUAUUCUCUAGCAAGUAAUAAGGGAAUUAUCAUGCCAAAUCAGAGUUGAUUACUUUGAGUAAAUAGGAACAACUCAGGGUCAAAUUCUCUGCUGUUAAAUUUAUAAUUUCAAAGCAGGUUGAGUAAUAACUAAUUAAAUCAGCAUCGGCGAUCCAUGUGAAAGUUGCAAGGUUUCGUAGAGUGAUUUUUGCAAUCAAAGCAAGAAAGUUUCAGUCAUAGAUGUUAAACUUUGCAGUGAUUCUUCUUGUUGUUUAUUGUGCCUUUGUACUUGCAUAUUGUGUUCUCUUGUCUUUAUUCAGGGACAAAAUAAAUGUGUGAUUCAUGUAAAUGUACUUACUGAGAACCUGACCGAGCAACCAGAAAUAUAAGAUUUCCCCUGGCAUGAAAAAAAUGACAUGUUUUCUUCUACGAAUUUACAUGAUAAUACUAGUGUCCAAAUGUAGUGUCUCACUGUGAAGGGCAUCAUCUAUAACACAUUUUUCAUAAAGUUUUAAUCAACACAGAGAGAGAGGGAAAAAAAAAAAAGAAAAAAAGAAAAAAAGAAAAAAAGAAGGAAGCAUUACCUGUACUUAUUUUGCAUUGCUGAAGAGAGCUUGUUGAUCUCAAGUUUGCACUAGCAUCAUUCUUAAUUACUUGUGAAGGGUCGAGGAGCUCGAGGAUUGCUUUUGCACUGAGCAAGGCUCAGCUGCAGGAUGGGUAUGUAUCAUAUCCAUGGGAGAAGAAGAUGAAGGAAGCACUUCCCAUCCCCGAAUCGAGCCGCUUCCUCUCCAUGCUCAUCCUUCCCAAGGCACUCGAUGCCACUGCUUCUCGCUACAGCUCACUCGAAGACACACUGGCCCGUGCAGAAGCAUGGCUGCUCUCCUCUCAGGCCUCUGGGGUCCCUGUUGUUUUCAUCAAUGUGCAGACCGAGGCUCUGCUUACCAAGGUAAUUCAACGUCAUAAAAGGAAAAUGUACAAAUAGCCACAAAAAUUUUGAUUAUUACAGUAUAUCCCUGGCGUUUCACACAGGUAGAUCAAUUGCUUAUAUAUUACCUAAUUUUUGCAGUGCUAUCAAUAAUUUUGAUUUUACUUGGUAAUCCAAUCUCCUGUUAAAUGACCUACAACGCAUCCCUUCCCUGCAAUCCAAUUUGCUGAGUAAAUUUAGUUACGAUCAUGUAGACAACAUCUGUUGUACAUAGGCCUCGGGGAUUCUAGGUCAACAAAGAAUCUAGUGUUAUGCUAUUAGAGUAGUUGAAGGUUCACAGACUAUAAUAAUCUCCCAAAAGAGAUUUAGAACAUUGAACUGCAAAAUUUCCUAAGUAGCACAUGCAAAGCAAUUGCUAUGGCGAGUAUAAAUUGCAUCCUCAAACACUUCUAACGAUUAUGUUGUGCAGAUAUCUGGCGAGGCAGCUUCUGCGACUGUUAAUUCACGAUCCAUAGGUGACCUUGUGAAUCUCGCGAAUGCUAGCCUCUACGGUUUUGAAGACUACCACGGUGUGGACAUUGGAGUGGUUAAGGCAGUUAGGCUUUGGUAUACAGCUGCUGCUGGAGAACUGCCCGUCGAGAUUACUCUUCAAGAAGGCGACACUAGGCUGGGCUUCUCAAUCAGUCGCACUGAGGAGGUUUUUCUCUUGACUUAAAACUUGCUGCAGCUUAAAAUUUGCUGCAGUUUGUUAGUUUAUACCAUUCCAUAAUAUCAGUUUCGCCGUUGCUACAACUAUUAAUAACAUCAUUUAAUAGGUUUUUUUGCUUUGGAACUAUCCGAAAGUAUAUUUAUUUAUGUAUGUUUGCCUUUAACGUUUACAUGUAGGCUUAUAUCCUCAAGAAGUCCAACAAAUAUUUAUAUCUUCAGACGGACGUUCAUCAAUCUUUUUAUUAUUAGAAUCUUAAUGUGUAGUCUGAAUCUUUGUAUGAGCCACAAAAUGACAUUAAUAAUCCUUAAACUUCUUAUCUCUAUUCAUAUUACUCUUGGGUUGAAGAAACCUGAACCGAGUCAAGCAUGUAACCUUUGAUUGCCGGUGAAUUUAACACCAUCUGUGCCAACAAAUGAUGUUCUAUAGGGUACUGAUACAAAUAAAGGUUGUAUCUAUAAAUACGCAUAGAGGUGCCUAUGUAAAGAAGAGAUCGCUUCUCGAGUAGUAAGCUUUUUAUAGGGGAAAAAUUAAAUAAGAGUAACAAUCUUUUGCUCCUUUUGUAAUGUUUACAGGGGUUCAUCUACAUAUCUUCUGUUGUCGAGGACGACCAAGACAAUGAAACCCCUUCCACACGGUCCGGGCUCAGAGAUCUAUACAGAGAAGCUAAAAGCGCCUCGAAGCUUCUAGUAAUCUCAAGAGUUUCUAACCAAAAAAUGCUUCCCUGGAUGGCUUCCUCCUCGGGUGGCAUUCGGUGCUUCGACACAGUUUCCCUCAGCAAAAAACUCUCACUACACCGCCACGCGCUGCAACCAAUUCUAAUCCAUGUGCUCAAGUGGGAGAGGCCGGUUGAGUUGAGUGGUCCGAUGGUGCUCCCUCCUUCAGCGCAAGUACUGCCGCCGUCUGUGCUCGAUGAAAUACCGCCAAUCUUGGUUUCGAGUGCAGACUCAGAGGCAACAUUAGAGAGGGAUACUGCAGGGGAUGCGUCCUUUAGGUUUCAUGAUUUCACCUUGCCGAACAAUUGGGUUUGAACUUAUGCUUAACAUUUUGCUAGUUAAAUGUAUAUAUAUAUAUGUGUAAAUUAUGUUUUAUACAUCUUUUCGUUAAUGAGAUAGUGAGAUUAUCCAUGAGCAGUUGGCUUUUUUGUGCUUAGAAAGGGGCUGUGGGGUCGUAUCUCACCAAUGACAUAUGAAAGGGUUAAUUAAGUGUCAGUUGUAUACAAAACUCUUCUUUUAGUUUUCAGAAGUUUAUACCGUUUGCGUGGCUCCGACGAUUUAUGUCUCCGACGAUUUAUGUCUGUAGUGCUGCAACAAGUGAAUGUUUCAUGAAAUAAGUUGGUAUAAUUGGGUUUAUGUAGAAGUUUAUCUAAUGUGAUAUGCACAAUAAUGUUCAGAAAAUAAUUAAAUAUGCAAGUAAAUUGAUUAACUUUCGUCUUUCUACACGGUCCACUUUAUUCAUGCACAAAUGUGUGAGGAACAUCUUGUGGCGUUAGGUACUUGUAUUUUGGAAUGCAUAGACUACUGUUCAGUGUUCAGAGACUCGGUCACUCAGCGCAGGGCCGGACGGGCCCUAAUUCAAUUAACAUGGUAGAAGGAGGCAGCCCAAUUCGAAACGUUUCCUGUCCAGCCCACUGAAGCCCAUGAUCAACUGGUUGUUAGGGUGCUGCAAUCUGUAAGCCUCCUAUUGGCUCCGGGAAGGGGCACCCGGAUCGCGAUCCGCGUGCUUCCAAGCGACGAAAUCUCAUCCGUCGAAUAAGAUUUAAUCGGACGAACAGAAAACUGUUCAGCGAAAAAGCAGGAACGCCUUUCCCGCCUCUCUCUCUCCCCGCUCCCUCCUCGUCCCAAAUUCCAAAUUCCAAUCUCCCCCUCCCCCCCUCCUCGCCGGGGCUACAAAUACCGUCAUCACCAUCAAACAAGCAGAAGAAUCCCAUCUCCAUCUCCCCCACUCGAGCAGAGCAAGGGCAAGAGCAAGAGCAAAAGCAAAGCAAAUUAGAGCAGGGCAGAGCAGAGCAGAGAGGAUGGCUCGGACGAAGCAGACGGCGCGGAAGUCGACGGGGGGGAAGGCGCCGCGGAAGCAGCUGGCGACGAAGGCGGCGCGGAAGUCGGCGCCGGCGACGGGGGGGGUGAAGAAGCCGCACCGGUUCCGGCCGGGGACGGUGGCGCUGCGGGAGAUCCGCAAGUACCAGAAGAGCACGGAGCUGCUGAUCCGGAAGCUGCCCUUCCAGCGCCUCGUGAGGGAGAUCGCGCAGGACUUCAAGACGGACCUGCGCUUCCAGAGCUCCGCCGUCGCCGCGCUGCAGGAGGCCGCCGAGGCCUACCUGGUCGGGCUCUUCGAGGACACCAACCUCUGCGCCAUCCACGCCAAGCGCGUCACCAUCAUGCCCAAGGACAUCCAGCUCGCCCGCCGCAUCCGCGGAGAGCGCGCCUAGAAAUCUGAUAUUAUAUUACAUCAAUCAAUCACGCCCUUUCCUUGCCUUUCCCUUCCUCCUCUUAAGCAUAGGAUGUUUUGUAUGUACGUUUGUGUCUGUGUUCUCCUCUGCUCUUGAGUUUGUUCUAGUGAUGUUUCUGAUCUACUAGUGAAAAUGGGUUGGUUUAUAUGUCGGUGGUGGUUGCUUUCAUUUCGAAUGUGAUUGUGAAUGCGCGACGGACGUUUUAGUCCCUUCUCGUACUUUUUGGUACGCUCUGGUUGAAUAAACAACCUCAUAUCAGCUGGAGAGUUAAAAAGAAAUUCAAUGAUAGGAAAAGAGGUGAAAUCGUCGGAUGGGGCUUCCUCUCACGGAAGCUUUAAAACAGAGUAAAACACCUGUUCUCGAACACACAAAGACCUAUUCAUUCAUUGUACAUUAUAUAAUCCAAUCAUCAAACACCCGACUACUAUUUACUUACCUUAAUAAGUGCGUUAUGCUAGCAACGUAUCUUAUAACUUAUUCAUUACAACCAUCCCCAAACACCCAAAUAAACUAAACGUGUACUAAAUGUUAUAUUUAAACCACCUUGCUUAGAUAUCUGGAAACGGAUCCAAGCGGGGCACCGGGACCAGAAUAAGCGGGUGGGCUCGUGCGCUCACCAACCCAACCCCCUCCUCCAUGUCCACCAACCUCCCCUUCCCUUCUUGCCCACUGCUGCUGCUGCUGCUGCCGCUGUCGCCGCUCACCUCCCAAUCGAAGCACUGCACUAAUGCUGCGAACGCUGCCGGCACCGCCUGCAGGGCAAGUGUCAUCCCCGGGCACCACCUUCUACCGCUGCCAAAUGGUAUCAGCUGAAAAUGCUGCCCCCUCAUGUCGACCGCCGCCCGAUCAUCAACAAACCUCUCCGGUCGGAACUCCGACGGGUUCUCCCAGUAUUUCGGGUCGCGACCGACAGACCAUACAUUGACGAAGAGUGAGGAGCCGGCCGGUAUGUCGUAGCCACCGACCGUGACGUCUCUUGUUGCCAGGCGGGUAAUGAGGGGGGCUGGCGGGUGGAGACGCAUGAUUUCUUUGACGGCGGCUUGGAGGUAGGGGAGGUUCGGGAGGUCAGUCUCGUCGACGACCCGGCCAUUUCCAACGACCUGAUCGAUCUCUCGCCGUAGUUUCUGCAGUACGUGAGGGUGGUUGAGUGUUUCGGCGAGCACCCAUUCUAUUGAGGCGGCGGUUGUGUCAGAUCCGGCGGUAAAAAUGUCCUGUACAUAGGCAUAGGCUUGUAUUCAUAAUUAGUUAAUGGCCAACAGCAAUGCAAUCUAUACAUCUACACCCAAAAAAAAAAGAGCAAUUUCACCACUACCCCUCUUAAAUAUCUAAAUAUCGUAAAUACCCCUAUAAAAUUGAAAAUAUCAUAUAUACCCCUUCAAAUGUAGAAAAUUAUCACAAAUACUCUUUUUUCUAACGGACGUUAAGAUUAGGUUAUAAAAUGACUAAUUUAUCCUCGGUUGGGGUGUUCUUUUGACAGCAACUAAUAAAGAAAUAAUUUCAUAAAUACCCUUCAAAUUUUAAAAAUAAUAUUUUUAGUACUAAUUAUUGGUAGAUAAAAUAUGUGGAAACAUCAUCUAACCGCACAUCUCUUAAUCCAAUGGACACAAAUCUACAACCACUAAUAACUUGAUACUUUUAAAAAUAUAGGAGCUCAAUUAAUUAAUUAAUUUUAUAUAUAUAUAUAUAUAUAUAUUAUUCAAAGCUAGGGCCAUGCCAAAGUGGACUAAUGGGUGAGCGGGUCUUCAUACAAUGUUAAUUUUUUGUUGACAAUAAAUGUGCAAUUAAAAAACUGUUGCUUGAUUGGGUCAUAUGAAAAAUACUAAUAUCAAAAAAAAUUUAUAUCAAAACAUUUUUUGUAUGACUUAUGUGAGUUAUUUAAAUAAAAUUCAAAAAAAUUAAAUCUUGAAAUUAAUAUUGAAUAUUACAAUGGAAUAUUGCAUUACAACUAUAUAUAAUUUACAUGCGAAAAAUUAUAACAAGAUUUAAUUAUUACACUUAAUAGACUAUAGAUAUUUAAUUGUAAAAUUUUAAAAAGAAUGUUGAAUUAUUAUGUGAUUGAAAGGUUAAGAAUUGAUCUUGAUCAUGUAAUUAAUCUUAAAUUAUUACACUUAGUUAAAUUAGUAAUUAAUAAGGGUAAAAUGGGUAUUUACAGAAUAUUAGAUGACUUUUUAACGGAAUGUUAAUCUUAAGGGUAUUUGUGAAUAUUUUUGUUUUAUAGAGGGGUAUUGCUGAUAUUUUGUAAUUUAUAGGGGCAUUUAUGAAAUUCCUAUCUCUUAGAAGGGUAUUGAUGAAAUUAUCCCAAAAAAAAAAACAAAUUCGCUGUUCUCUAUAUUCAAAUUUUCUAUAUUUUUUAUAUUAAAAAUAUAAACAAAUUAUCGAAAUUUUUGGAUGAGUUAAAUGUGUAUGUUAUACUCAAUUGGAUAUAUGAUUAGCACUUUAAUAAGAAUAAUUGCUAUUAAUAUGCCAACGAUCAACCAAAGGACGAGAAUAUCAUUAAUACGUAGCUCAGACUUUGACUUUCUUUGAACUAUCUGUAUAACACGUGUGGAUAAAUAUUUUUUUUUUUUUUUUGAGAGAUACGUAGCACGCUACCGGCUUCGUUUAUUUCAUUUAAAAAUAAACUUAGCUGGAAAUAUGAAUCAACUAGGAUUUGAACUUAGGUCUCGAAUACCAACCACCAAAAACUUUACCAUUUGCUCUAGGAACGUGUGGAUAAAUGUAUUAAGAGAUCCGAGUGCCAAAAGAUCUUAUAGGAGAGAUCUUGAAUGCCCUUUUAUCCCACUAAUAAGAUAACAAAUAUAAUUAUGUAUUUGCUAAUCUAUUUUAAAGAGUAAUACUUCAAUACACCAUAUAAAUCUUGAUCAUUUAUUUUUUUUAAUAGAUAGUUUAGAUUUAAUAUGACUCUAGAUAUGACUUACUAUUGAAGCGUAGGUACUAUUUACCAAGUACCUAUUUAAAGAGUAUUUUGGUUUUUGUAAAAUAUUUUGGUCUACAAAGCCAGUUUUAUCCAACUAAGAAUAUUAUGAUAUUUUUAAAUACCUACAACAAUAGUUGGAUUUUAAAUUACAAUCAAAUUGUAAAUUUAAAUUCAAAACAACAUUUAAAACUUAAUUAUAGAUCAAAUUCAAUUUUUUUAAAUAUAAAAUACAAAUUUAAAGUAAAACUUUCAGUUCCAAUUCAAAAUUUUAAUUUAAAUCAAAAAUUAAAAUUUGGCUUUAAGAUUAAAAGUUCAUUUUAGAUUCAAAUUUAAAAGUUUAAUAUAAAUUUCAAAAUUAAAAUUUUACAUUACAAUACCAACUUUAAAAAUUAAAUUUAAAUUCAAUAUUUUUUUUGAGCUGUUUACUUAACAAAUUGGGUAUUAUCUAAUUUGAUAAGUUACCAAAGAGAAUAAAAUAUUUAAUGUUAUAGGAUGCUGACAAAUUUAGUAUAUAUUACUAAAUUUUUUUUUUCAAUAUUAUCAUAUUAACUAAUUCAAAUCGGUAACCUGUUCAACAUGUUACUUCAUGUAAAACUCUAUUAAACCUUUUACUAAUUAAGAAUAAAAUUUUAAUAUUUAUGGUAUAUCGAAUCAUUCCUCUUUUAGAGUAAAAGUAGCUUAAUUAUUAAGAUUAUUAACUCUUCUUAUAGUUCUUUUUUUCCCACCAAAAACUUACGGAGCUGUAAUUGGGUCAUGUUAAAUAGGCAUCUCAACUUAUACACUUCGGCCUUUUUCUUUCUUUUUUAUUAUUUUCAAACCUAAUUAAUUAUUGAGAUUUUCAUUAAAUUUAUAACAGGUCUGAUAUUGAUUCUGCUUACGAAACUGUCGAUUAAUUAACAGUUUAAUUAACAGUGGUUAAGUACCAUUAAUUAAAAAGAGAAGGAAAAUCCGAUUCACAUGAUGAGAAUCUUCAAGCGAUUUCUCCUCUCCAUAAAACAGGGAGGAAAAGAAAAAAAAAAAAACCCUUGCAUGCCUUAAUGCAAUUGUUCUUCUAUUACUUCCCCUGGUUCCUUAGAUACGUACCUUCAAGUAAUUAGGAAUACUUAUUAAUUCAACCUAAUUAAGCGGAAACAAUCCUAACUAAAAUGGAGAGAAAGGAAAGAUAAGGUGAUUGCUUAUAUCUAACAAUAACCCCGUAUUUUUCUCCAAAAAAAAAAACAAUAACCCCGUAUUCGAUAGAGACACGAAAUUUAUCCUGUAUAUAAUGCAUGAGGUUGUUUUUUUUUUUUCUUUUCCCCUCGUCAGCUAAGCUUUCCAAUUAAUUUGCACUUUAACGUGUUAUUAAAGUUAGACUUGCAUAUUUAUGAACUUUAUGUGACUGUGUUUGGCUCGUAUCUAAGCUUUACGUAGCUAUUAGCUUUUAAGCUUUUUAAGCUUUUAAGCUUUUAGAUUGGUUCAAGCGCUUUAGCAGUGUUAAUUACUAGCGAAGGAAAGAGAUGAAAGAGUCCCAUACCACAAUAAACCCUUUAAUGUUUUCUCUGCUUAGCUUCGUCUCCGCUUUCUCAUCCUCAGCCGCAUCAAGCAAUAUAUCGAGCACAUCCUUCACCACCCCAUCAUCAUCUUCUUCUCCUCCCUCCCUGUUACUAUGCUUCUUCUUCCUCCUCCUCGCCUCUUCUUUUUCCUUUAUGAUCCUCUCAAGUAGCCCAUCGAACCUAGCGUGCACAUCUCUUAUCCUCUUGCUCAAGCCCUGCGGGUCCCACCCUCUGCAGAAGGCGAUGUGGUCCUCCACGUUGAACGCGCCGAUGAGCUCCGCCACCUGCUUCGCCAGCUCCCGCGCCUCCUCCGCCUCGCCACCCGCCGCCGACGACGUGGUGCUCGCUGCCAUCCUCAUCACCAUGUUGUUGGUCAACCUAAUUAUUCACAUGAACACUAAAACAUUAAAAGAAACGGAGACUAAAAAUGCUAAUAAAAGUGUGGAGACAAAUUCUCUCGGCAAAAUAACACUAGCCGUCUUGCCUGAGAUCUUUUGUUGCCUCAACUCUGUAGCUUAAUUUAUUCUUUCAAUGAAUGAAACGGAUAACGCGCUAAUUUUUUAUAUUAAAACAAAAACUCUAGCUGCUGAUACUUUAGAGAAGAGGAGCUGACUGGUCAUGCAAUAUUGUAUUUUUUUUUUUUUAGAGAUAGAUAGCAAGCUAUUCAUUUUAUUUUAUUUCAGUUAGAAAUAAACUAAACUGAAAGUGUGAAUCAAUUAAAAUUCGAACUUAGAAUUUCGAGUAUCAAUUAUUAAGCCUUUUGUCACUUACGCUAGGAACGAUCGGUGUCAUGCGUAGAGUUAUUAGUCUUCAGACGGUUGGCCACUUGUUGUCCACCCGUGCUUUCUUUAAGCACUUGCGGCCAUUAUGUUUAAAGAUGUUCACGAGGUCUGGUCUAAUUAGUUGAUGGUUUACAGGAAUGCCCGCAAGAGAGAAGUUAACUUUAGCAGCUACUUUAAUUUCUCGACAAAUAUAAUCCUUUCGCUAUUCUAAGUGAUUAUUUUAUUUUGGGUAAUGAGGAACUUGUCAUUCUUAAUUCUUGGGUUCAGGAAUUCCUCUAUAACUUAAGUGACACAAUAAAAGCUUUUUCGAUUCUUUUAGUUACUGAUUUAUGGAUUGGAUUUCACUCGACUCAGGUAGGGAAUAUACUUGCAAAGAAAAUAAUUUGAUUUUUCAAAAAUCCUGGUGGGGAAGCGUUGAAUUUUAAUUGCUUGCAAUUGUUGAUUUUUCGCUUUUUUUUUUCUUUCAAAAUUUAGCUAUCUUAUCUCACUUUUGUAAUUUAUUUUUUUUUUAAUGAAUGAAGUAAAUAAUUUGUUUUUUUUUUUAAAAAAAAAGAAAAAGAAAAAGACAAGAAAAGACAAUUUUAGGUUUUUGAAGAAGAAUCACACCUGAUCAGCUCCCUACUGAGGUUGACACGCUCGCGAAGUUUUGACUUUUCGAGGAGGGUGUGGAGAAGAGCCGUGAACUCGGCGCGGCGGAUGGGGCGGAGCUGGUCGACGGUGCGGGCGCCGAGGAGCUCCGACAUGCAGAGCCGGCGCAUGAAGCGGUAGUAGGGGCUGUAGGGCGCGAAGGCGAAGGCGGCGGAAUCGUAGGCGAAGCGGCGGGCUGCGAUGGUCUGCGGCCGAUCGGAGAAGGCGGCGUCAUGGGUCUUGAGGAGGUCGCGGGCCACGUCGGCGCCGGCGGCGACGACGCAGAGGGUGGAGCCGAGGCGGACGUGGAUGAGGGGCCCAUGCCGGAGCGUGAGGCGGUGGAAGGCGCGGUGGAUGGGGGGACGGAGCAGGUGGAGGUGGCCGACGACCGGAAGGCCCAUUGGGCUCGGCGGGAGACGGUAGUGGGCAUUGGGCUUCGAACUGGGCCGGGCCUUGAUGAAGAAGAAGAAGAAGAAGAGUAGGCUGAGGAGGAGGAGGAGAGCGGAGGUGAAGAGGGUGGUGUCUUCCAUGUCCACGUUGUUGAGCAAGGAAGAACAAUAACCCACCACCCUUAUCUGAUACAGCUAGAGGGCUACGCAUGUAUAUGUAAUAACUGUUAACGGGUCGCAUUUUGGUGGGAGAUUCAAAUCCGAAUUUAUCGUGGUAUAUUGAGUAGGCUUUUAUUUUAUUUUAUUUUAUUUUAUUUUUUUGAUUGGACCGUAUCCCUCCCAUAACCCGGCGCCAACAAAAAAAAAAAAAUCUAAAUUCUGUUUGCUCGUCCUAAAGAAAAGGUCUCUUACGGCCGAUAAUUUUGUGAAGUGUGGGUGGACUGGAGAUACAGCUAGUGUGUUAUGCGGGGCAAAUGAAGAAACGGUCGACGAAUUGUUCACACAAUGCGUUUUCACCAAGUUUGUUUUAGUAAUGAGCGUGGAGGGCGUUCAAGCUAGGGAUUUGGGGACGACGUUUCUUCCUGCUGGGACAGGUGGGCAGGCAGAAAAGGAUUACACAAUUCUAAAAGCAGUCUAACUGAUCUAGUAGACAACUGAUGAGUUAUCUGGAAGGCGAAAACGACUUGAUCUUUAGAAAGAUAUCGCCUAACCCAGUACAAGUAGCUCUUAGACUCAAACUGCUGUUGAAGGAUGGAGAAUAUCUUAUACCAUCAAAGUAGAUCCUCAAUGCUAGUGUUUUUUUUUUUUUUCCUGCUCUCUCUCGAGGCCUAGGUUGCCUCACUCCUGUAGCCUCAUUUAUCCCUUUAAUGAAUAAAGCGGGUAGCGUGCUACCUUUUCCUCAAAAAAAAAAAAAAAAAAUCUAAAAUAUAGUUAUAUAACUAAUGUAGUGUCACCAAUGAAUCAGAUUGCACUACAACAGAAUUAGGUUAUAGGGACACAUGUUUGGGACAUUUUUUAGUAAGUGUCUCAUUUAUGCUAAAACUUAAAAACACAUCUACUAAUGCCUAAAUAUAAAGCCCAAUCCAACCAAAAAUAAAAAAUUACUCUACUCAAUCCACUACACCCAGUCCAUUUAGCCCGAUUACAAACAGAAAAGAAAAAAAAAAAAAGAAAAAUCAAUUACCUUGUUUUUUUCUCUCUUCACUCAAUCCACUGAAAUUCUAGACGAACAGCCUUUACUGUCGUCGUCCUCCUCCGCCAUUGCAGCCAACGAGAUAGAGUUUCGGCGGUUGCUAAAUACUUAAAUAAGUGUUGGUAAAUUAGCAGCAUUCUUUUAGAUUAUAGCGACACUCUUUAACUGUCACUAUAUACCUAGCGACCCCACAUAUAGCAACACUUUUUAAAAAUGUCGGUAAUUUUAGCUAGCAGCAUUUUUUUGACAUGUACCUAUAUUUAAAAGUGUCGUUGUAGACCGUUUUUGUUGUAGUGUUGAUCCUCUUGGAUUUAUCCGUCUCAUUAUGAUAACAGACAAAUAUUUUUAUUAUACUUUUUAUUUAAAAUAAAAAAUAUGAUUGAUAUUAAUAGAUGAUGUGAUUAAUACGUAUGUAGUAAAAUAUUUUCACGCCAACACUGGAGUACGUCAGGAUCCAUUUUUAGACCUCUACAUACUAUGCACGGGCAUGCCAGCUGACCCACCGGUUAAUGGUGUACAUAAUAAAAAUUAUUUUAAGAGAAACAAUUAAAUUUUAUGAAUUUAUAAUUGUCUGUAUUUUUUAUUUAUAUCAAAAAUAUUAAAUCUUCCUCUUAUUUUAAAAUUACUAUAAUUAUUAGGAGUUUUUAUGCUAAAACUUUUACUUUUACAAAUGAAAUUGUAAAUAUAACUAUUAUUGUAAUUACCAUAUGAAAUAGAACUAUUAAUAUUGACACAACUAUUAACACAACUAUUAAUAACUAUUAAUAUUGACUUCCAAACGAAGAUAACUAUUAACACAACUAUUAAUAUGAUUAAUCCCACUAGAUUUGAGUAUCAUACAUGUAAUGAUGGUAGUAGUGAUUGUUUCUCUUAGACUUGACGGUGUAAUUGUAUUUGGAUCAUAAAUAAUUAAUAUGUGGUGGUUUUUUUUUCUAUAAUAACUAUGCUAAAUCUGAAUUUGUUUUAGACCAAUUUUAUUGUAUUACUAGUGAAGACCUGCGCGAGGCUGUGGAUAUAAAAAUAUUUUUAAUAAUAAAUUUUAGUUUAUAUUUUUAUAUUUGUAUAUGGUUUUAUAAGUCCAAUUAUAAAACCAUAUACAAAUGAUGACAAUGUUACCGAUAAUACUAAUGGUGCUAUCAAGUUUUUCGCUGUUAUAUCUCUCUUUGAUUAUUUUAAUCCAUUAGAUUAUACUAUUCAACCAACUAUUCACUAUUGUCCUAAUUAUUAACCCUACAUCGUUUUAUGCAAGAGCUAAAAACUUAAUAGCACUAAUAAGUUGGUGCUAUUAAUAAAAUUAUAGCCCAAUUCUAUAUAUAUAUAGAGAGAGGGAGAGAGAAGUGGAGGAUUAAGGAGACACGUGUCACUUUUUUAAGAUUUCCCAAUCCUCCUUUAAUAUAGUAGAAAGAAAAAAAAUAUCGCUUUAAGAUCCCCCCGAUCCUUCUUUAAUUAAUGUAGUAGAAUAGAUAGAAAAUAAUGGAGAUAAUAAUGUGAAGAUAUGGAGAUAUUUAAUUGUUUUAAUAAAUUAUUUUUAAGUUUACAGUAUGAAGAUAUUUAAUCGAUUGAUAUUACUACAUGUAAUAAUUAUGACGGAGAAAACUUUUCAAUACUGUAUGUUUUUUUUUCUUUUUUGAGAAAAAUAUAGCACGCUACCCGUUUCAUUCAACGGAAUGAUGAAUUAGGCUACAAGGGUGGGGCAGCCAGGCCCCGAAAAAAAAAAAAAAAAAAAAAAAGAAAAAAAAAAAAGGGAUAGUAAUUCUGAUCAAGAUGAGAGAAACGAUCCCCACUCCUUCAAUACUGUAUGUUAGGACACAACAAUAGGAGGCGGCGAGGCUAAAAUGUUCUAGCUUGAGAGAAAUUUGUGCGUAUGUAGCUCGCAUGCCUGUUCUUACAAUACAUUCAUUCACCAUCCGUUUUAAUACUCUAUCUCAUAUUUUUAAUUUAGUUCUUUAAAUUUAAAGUAAAAAAAUUAUAAUUUUAGAUAGUGGAGAUUAAAAUGGAAAAUAUAAAUUAUAAAGAGGUUGAAUAAAUAUGCUACAUGCAUUGAUAGAUAGUGUGUAGGAAAACUCUCCCCCUUUCUAAAAAAUAAAAUUAAAUUCAUAGGGAAUGAAAAACAAAAGUUUAUUUUUUUGAUAAAAUAAAAGGAAACCUCCAAUUCGCUCUCUCAUUUUUAUUGGAGGAAUAAAAUGUAGGAUACACACUCAUUUAUGGAUGUACCAAGAGCAUUAUUCUUUUUUCACACAUAUUCUACUGUAACGUGAAGUUGGAGUGACAGCUCUCAGCAGGAGUGUUUGGACGUAAGAUGAACUAAAAAAUUAUUUUCAAUAUAAAAAUAUUUUUUUGCUUGUUUGGUUCGACGUAAUAUAAUUUUUGCAUAUAUAGGAGUAUUUUUAUGAAUUUAGAAAAAAAUUAAAGUUUUGAUUUUUUGUUGUUUUUCGGUAGAAAACGAAAACUCUCUGUAGGAGAGUCACUUAUCCUCUCUUUCUCUUUAUAUUAAUAUGCUAUUAUAUAAUAUUUUAUUUAUAAAUAUAUAUAUAUUUAUAUAUUUAGUUAUAUAUAUACAUGAUGAUGAUGAUGAUAUAGAUAUGAAAUUCAAUUAUAAUAUAUAUAAUACGGUAUUUAUUUAUAUAAAUAAUACAUAACAUAUAAUAAUAGAAGAAAAUUAUAUAAAAUUAUGUUUAAAUUUUNAUUUAUAUAAAUAAUACAUAACAUAUAAUAAUAGAAGAAAAUUAUAUAAAAUUAUGUUUAAAUUUUUCGUUUCAACUAAAGAAAUAUAGCUGAAAAAUUUUUUUCCUAAAAAUCAAACAUUAAAGAGUGUAAUUUUUUUUCCAUGAAAAAUUAUUUAUUAUAAUUUUACGUUGAACCUAAUAGAAUGCAACUAGGAAUAAUUCAGCAAGAGUAGCUUUGGUAAAUUAGUAGGAGCAGUUUUGCCAGUAAUAACUUUUCGAUAGCUUUGUUUUCUUUAUUUCUAUUUUUUCUUUAUUUUUUAAUUAAACUUUACCUUUAUUUUCUUUUGUUGUCCUUUUUUUUUCUUUUCGGAAGCCUUAGCUGCUUUCACCGUAUUUGCUUAGUUCAUUUUACCUAAUGAAUGAAGUAGGUAACUUUCUAUUUUUUUCUCAAAAAAAAAACUUCGAAAGCUUUGGUGUUUUUAAUUAUUUUGUGAGAUCACGCCGAAACGCCAAACUUUUAAAAUCUCAGAAUAUAUCUAUUUCAGCCUAGAAGUGCUCGAAUUCAGCUCAACUAAGUUCUAACCCGAACCAAGCGUCCUAAUGCAGCAGCUUGAGGUGGUUAAGCUGCAGUAGUGAACCCAAGCGCAAUUAUAACUUAUUUGAUUUGACCGAUAAUUUUUUUUCCUAUUUAUUUUCCAGUCAACUGAGAUAACAUGAAUGAGUAAUACGCGAUAUGUGAUGGAUUGAUGCAGCGGGCGCAGGCAGUUAUUUUUUUGACCUUCUUAUCUACUGCUAAAUUGCAAAAUAAAAUAAAACAAAAUUAAUAAGAAAAAACUCAUAUUAAACUUCUUUUACGUAACAAAUAAUAACAACCUACUCCUUAAUAAAGGACUAAAGCGAAUGCCCAACUACUUUGAAAACGCGAACUUUGUUUCUUGUGUUUGAAAGGAACCUGCUUUUGUGUUUGAAAGGGAACCUGCUUUCUAAUUUAUUGCCCAAUUAAAUCAUCGUUUUCAAUUAUUAUGAGGAUCUUGUUUCCGCUGGAUCUUGUUUCCAGUGGAGAGUUACAUUUCACAGUUAACAGGUGGCAGUUGUAGGUGCUAUUGUCAAUAAAUGAGAAGAUGUUUCCUAUUAAAUAUUAAAAUAUUAUUUUUAUUCGUUUAAAUAAUUGAAGAAUAAUUAUUGUUUUAUAUUUUUAAAUAUGAACCUGAGUUUCUGAGUUGAAAUCACGUCAGAUUCUUAACAUUAUUAAUUUUUUAUUAUUUAAUUCAAAUUCAUGUCAUGAAUAUAAUGAAAAUUCAGUUCAGAUUUGAGUUCUUUUUUAUAAUACUUCACAUAAAUCCUAAAACAUUGUAUCGCAUAAUUUAUAAAAGAAAGAAAAAGUCUUUCAAUGUUCCCCAGCAACCAGGAUGGCGUGGCAUAUGCGAGGCGUGCAUUAAUUAUGCACCCACCCUUCUCAAGCAAAAAAUUAUUUAUAGAUUUUCCAUAUGUUGAAAGCAACAGUAGAAAAUUCAUAUUCCUGAUUUAGCAAGGUUAUCCGAUCCCUUUAAUUUAGAGGAAAUCAAGAAAGCCAUUUUUCAACUGGAAAGCGAUAAGGCGCCGAGACCGGAUGGUUUCCCUUUGAAGCUCUACCAAACGUUUUGGGACACCGUUAAGGAUGAUAUUUUGAGUAUCUUUCAGGAAAUGUACGAGAGAAAGCUCUCCACGGACGCCAUAGACUACUCUUUCAUUUGUCUUAUUCCGAAGAACGAGGGGGCAGUGCGAGCAAAUGACUUUAGACCCAUAAGCUUGUUAAACAGGAUCCAAAAAAUUUUAUCUAAGAUUCUGACCAACAGGCUAGACCAGGUUAUGAAGGAUCUGAUAUCCCCGUCUCAGUCUGCUUUCCUGAAAGGCAGGAACAUUACCGACGCUUUUGCAUCAGUUUCCGAACUUAUUGAAUGGGGUAGCAAAUUGUCCGUUGAAGGUGUCGGGAUAAAGGUUGAUUUUGAAAAGGCCUACGACAGGAUUUAUUGGCCAUUCCUUUUCCAAAUUCUACGGUGGUGGGGUUUCAAUGACAAGUGGUGUGAAUGGAUCGAAUCUUGCGUGUGCCACGCGAAAGUGGCAGUACUUGUUAACGGAGAGCCGACCAAAUGGAUAAAGACGAAGAGAGGCGUAAGACAAGGGGAUCCGAUUUCACCUUAUCUAUUCUUACUGGUGGCAGAGUGCCUGGCUCGUUUGACCAAUGAGGCGGCCUCUAACAGUCUCAUUAAAGGCCUCGGCCCGACCGAGGGAUGUAGGGUCACUCUCACUCAAUUCGCGGACGAUACCUUUUUCUUCUGCGAGGCAAAAAGCAGGUACUUGAAAAAUCUCAGGUUUAUUUGGCACCUUUUCGAGUGGACCUCGGGAAUGAAAAUCAACAGGGAGAAGACGGAGCUUUACUAUCUAGGACAGGAGGUCGGUAAAGGAGCUAGAUUAGCAAACAUUUUGGAAUGCAGAGUGGGCACUCUCCCAACCAAUUAUUUGGGUCUACCGCUCUCUCCCAGAUCACCGUCCAAGGAGGCAUGGAUGGGGAUCAUACAAAAGAUACACCGGAGAAUAGAGGGCUGGCAAGCUAAACUCCUUUCUAGGGGAGGUAGACUUAUCUUAGUUAACGCGGUAAUAACCAACAUACCCCUCUACUCUCUUUCCGUGUUCAAGGCCCCCGCGUGGGUGAUUAAGCACAUCGAAGCCCUUAGAAGGGACUUCUUCUGGAAUGGUGGGCGCAGCACCCCGGGCAAGGGAUGUCUAGUGACUUGGAAAAAUGUUUGUAAGACCAAAAAGGAAGGCGGGUUAGGCAUCUUGGAUGUUGCGACCAUGAAUCAAGCGUUACUGACUAAAUGGUGGUGGAAAUUUCACAUUGCACCUGAACUACAGUGGAACAAGUUAAUCCGGGUUCUGUACUAUCGUAGAAGAAAAUCGCUGAGGGAAGGCAGAUACUUUAGACCGUUCUCUAGUUAGUGGAAAGGUAUCCUUAGUUGCAGCUCCAUCUUUAAAUGGGGCGCAACCUUUGAACUAGGAAACGGUAAAGCCAUUGACUUCUGGCAGGAUAGGUGGUGUGGGGAGAAAACAUUGAACCUUCUGUUCCCGGAAGCUCAUCUCUCGACUGAGGGGAAAAACUACAGAGUUAGCGACUAUUUCACGAAGGGUAGUUGGAAUUGGACCAAGAUCCUAGGAGCCGAAGUGGGCCUUUUGCAAGGGCUGAUACCGAACCUCUCGGAGCUUGUGGAAAGGGUCUCCAACUUCUCUGUCGGACAUAGACCUGAUAAGAUCCUUUGGCGGUGGAGUUCAGACGGAAAGUUUUCGGUCAAAUCGACUUAUUUGGCUUUGACGGACGGCGGGGUAAGAGACGCACGUGCCGCCACCAUCUGGAGUCUCAAAAUCCCCCUUAAAGUAAAAGUCUUUAUCUGGUUGGUCCUUAAGAAAAAAAUCCUGACACGCGAUAGUCUUGUUAAGAGAGGGUGGAUUGAUGACCCCACCUACGUGCUUUGCGGGUCGGACGACGAAUCAGUGGACCACCUGUUUACCCACUGUGUAUUUUGCAAAUUCGUCUUGGUGUCAGGGGACGACGAGAUCCAGGCCCAAGACCUGGGGGACGAGGUGAAUCUUGUUUGGGAUAGGUGGACUGGCAAAAAAGACCCUCUAAAUAAGCGUACCAGACUUGCUGAACUAGCGGGAUGCUGGUGGGUGAUCUGGAAGGUCAGAAACGAUGUAAUAUUUCGGAAUAUCACCCCUAACCCCGGGAUUGCGGUCCACAGAUUCAAACUGCUUGUGAAGGAGUGGGAGCUUCUCCUCCGGUCAUAAUUGUUUUUUUUUUUUUUCUGGGGGCCUGAUUGCCCCACUUUUGUAGCUUAGUUCAUAUGAUCAAUGAAUGAAGCGGGUAGCAUGCUACCUCUUUCUCAAAAAAAAAAAAAUUCACACUCAAUUAUAAUAUAAAUAUAUAAAGAAAUGAGACGAUAUAUGUCGAAAUUUUGACCAUUGAUCCCAACUUUUUGCAUCACAAACACCUAUAAAGCAUCUUGUUUGACUUGCAAGAAAAAAAAUCUGGAAUAUGACAGUAGCUUCAAACCAAUUAAAUUGUGCAUCCAGAUUCACUCAUCCCAUUAUAAUUUUUUAAAAUAUAUUUACCAUACUUUUAUCUCAAAUAAAAAAUUAUAUUGGCUAAAAAUAUAAAUAAUAUGGUAAGAUUUUGCAAUAUGAAAGAUCACCUUCAUGGGAGACCAAUCUGAUGGCGUAAUAAGUGGUUUUUCAGGAACACUGGCCAAAAUUUUUUAAAGUCCCUAACUAUGUUUGGUUUGGGUAUAAGUAAGAACUACUAGUUCCAGUGAUAGAUACAAGUUCAGGUAUAAGCAGGAACUAGAUCAAUUUUGCGUUUGGAUGAAAAUUGGGUUGUUUCUAUGAAUAAGUUAAAUAGUAUUUGGAUAGCUAGAUUGGAACAAGAGGAUUAAGAGUUACAAUUUGAAAUUAAAAUUAUAUUAUGUAAUUAAUUAACAUAAAAAUAUUACUUAAAAAUAAAUAAAAAAUUAAUUAUUAAUAAUUAAUUAUAAAUAAUAAUUAAUAAUAAUAAUUAAUUAUAAAUAAUAAAUUAUUAAUAACGAUUAUCUAAUUAAUAAUAAUUAUUAUUAUUAUUAAUUAUUAAUAAAUAAUAAUAAUUAUUAAUUAUUCUUAUUAAUUAAUUAUAAAUAAUAAAUUAUUAAUAAUAUUGAUUAUCUAAUUAUUAAUAAUAAUUAAUAUUAAUAUUUAUUAAUAAAUAAUAAUAAUAAUUAUUAAUAAUUAAUUAUAAAUAAUAAAUUAAUAAUAACAUCGAUUAUCUAAUUAUUAAGAAUAAUAAUUAUUAAUUAAUUAUUAAUAAAUAAUAAUAUUAAUUAUUAAUUAUUAAUUAUAAAUAAUAUAUUAAUAAUAAUAUCGAUUAUCAUUAAGAAUAAUAAUUAUUAAUAAUUAUUAAUAAAAAAUUAAUAAAUAUUAUUAAUUAUUAAUAAUUAAUUAUAAAUAAUAAAUUAAUAAUAAUUAUUAUCUAAUUAUUAAUAAUUAAUUAUAAAUAAUAAAUUAAUAAUAAUAAUUAUCUAAUUAUUAAUAAUUAUUUAUUUAUUUAUUUAAUUAUUAAAGCAAUAAAUAAUAAUUUAAAUAUAUUAAGUAGAUUAAUUAAUAAUUUACUGCCAUUAAAAUUAAAUUUAGAUUUUAAUUAAUCUUGUUCUUCUAAAAAACGGGUGUAACAGCAGUUCCAGCCUUAUACCAGCUUAUUUCAGAAACCAGGGAACUACUGUUCGCAGAAACCAAACAUACCGUUUGGAAACAAAGGAGAGAACAAGGGCUUAUUCCCUCCUUUGUUCCCGAACCAAACGCUACCUAAUAGCUUGCUUCCUCUCUUGUGCACCGGCUAAUAUACAAAAUAUAUAUUUUAUUAUAUUAUAUAAUAUGUAAUGUAGUAUUUAAUAGAUAAGCUUUUUAAUGAAAGAGAAGUAAAUACAAAUUUUCAUAUUUAUAUAGUCUACAAUACAAUAUAAAAAAUAUCCACUAUAACAUAUUUUAUAUAGAAGUUUAUGCAAUAUAAAUUAUAUCUAGUAUAAUAAUUAUAGAAAAAGACCAAAAAUAAGUUUUAAGCCAACCAAAUUAUAAAAAAAGGGAAAUCCAGUUAUUAAUCUCCUUUUCCAACCAAGGAAACAUCCACUAAUUUGCAAAUCAAUCGCUAGAAACGGUAAAAUCCGUUUUGUAUCAAACAAUUUUUUCUACAAGAAAACUAUCUUUUAUAGCUCAAGUGAAACCAAACAGCUCCUCAGCGGCAAGAUCCUUUUCCCUUCCCAAAUAAAUUCAUAACAUUUGCUAAGAUUUUGAAUACUAUUUGAUACCACUUCCAUAACAUAAUCCACGCGCUACGAAGUGGGCGUUAUUUGCUAGUAAAUGCAAGGUUAGAAAGAAUGAUUAGAGAAUAAGACACAGUACUUACACCAAUUAACAGAGGGAACAAGGAUGACCUUGUGAACUACUACCUUGGAUGCUAAUCACCGUUUAACAAAUAAAUUACACAGCUUAAAGCAUGAAUGACAUGGUUUUAUUUGCACCAACCAAAGCCUGUGAAUACCCACUUGUCUUUCCUUUGAGAUUAAUCACUGAGAGCUCUUGCUCGACGUAAUCUCCAGCACAGACUGGGGGAUACAUAUUCACAUGGCUUGAUUCAGCAAAACGGCCUAGCGGCUUUAGCAUUGCAUCAGAAGCAAUAUGAGCGAAUAGCUAUUUGAACAAUGACAACAACGAGAAGUUAGUAAUACACCAAUGCAGGGUCGAAAUUCAAGAGGAAAACGAGGUCAUAUUUGAAAAUUACAAAAGGAAAAGCGCUUACGGUUGAAGAAACCCUCCACAAGCUGCGGUUUUGCUCCCGUGCAAGAUCAAUAGCUUCCAGUGUCCUCUUAGUUACAACAACCUCGUGCAUCCCAGCUAAACACUCCCCUCCAGUAAGCCACUCUAGCUGCACGAAAAGAACUUAACUAAGUUGAUUGCUAUUCCUUUUUUGGGCAAAUUAUUAAGUCCGUAACAAAUUCAUGUCAUGCCCAAUGUAGGACAUGAAUUUAUAAUCAUGGAAUUGACUAAUCAUCAGAAUAUAAGUUCAUUCCAUGCCAAGAUAACAAAUACCCCUCCAACCAUAGGUCAUCCAGAAACUACUCCAGUUCAAGUGGUUUAUACUUGACCCCCUUAAAGCACGUGUUGUUUUAUUUCAAAAAACAUGUAACUAAUUAAUGGUCUCCAUAACUUUCCAUAUGAAAUAUUGUCUAACUUAAUAGAAUGUUCCAAGUAUAUGGUACAUGACGACAUGUUGUACUCUUUUUGUACAUAAACUGUUGCAAUCCAAUACCUGAUGAAAUUUUGCGAAAUCAAAUAACAAUGUUAUUUGAGUGGUUAAAAAAAAAAAAAGUUGAAGUUGGAAGCCUACUUCAAAUAGCAUUUUCAUACAUUUUUACAUUUGUUUUCCAAAGAUUAUGUUUCGUCCAAUUAGAAAUCUUAUUGUUUCAUAGUCCACCAAAAUAUUGAUCCUGCAAGAUUCACACUGUAAUUAAGUGUGUUGAAAAGAGCGAGAAAUAUUCACCUGUUUCCCUGUUUGAAUGAGAAGGCAACCGACAGGGACCUUGACUUCCAUUUUUUGGCCAUUCCUUAACCAGAUGUUUAAGCCUGGGAAUCUACUCCUACCAUGUAUUGUUAAGAAGUUAAGAUCGUAAUGAAAUCCUGCAAAUACUGUGCCCUCGGAUCCAUGGCGUUGCAGGUCACUUCCGGUGGGAGCAAGAAGGUGUGGUCCCUGUAGCAUAGAGCAGAGGAAAAGAGUAUAUCAAAAGAAAGUGGAAAUAGAGUAAAUAUCAAAUAUAUCAAGCGUCCAAAAAAGGUCACUGUGCUUCACUACGCUCAGAGGAGCAUAAAUAGACAAAACCACACAUAAUACUAGAAAUAUUUACCACCAUCCCAACUUAUCCCCAACCAAUUACCACAAAGUCUUUGGACAUUAAAGACUCGCUGAAUCAUAAGCAAUAGAUUGAGGAUGUCCAGAGCCAGCGGAUUAUUGUAAGUAGUGCCGUUUAUUUCAAUAUCGACUUUCUAUUAUCUCAACAUUAAACAGAAGAACUUCCAAUUCUAAGCACCAUCAUGCCUUGGUGAUCUUGGGUACCAAAGAACAUAUGACUUCACAAGUUCGAAUAAGAACCUCUCUCUAUCGAACCGAGUGACUACGUGCUAAAUUGCUUAAAUGAUAACACAACUCAUUCAAAAAGAGGGAAAUGAGCGGCAAAUAUAAUGAGAAAUAAAAUAAUAGAGACGUCCAAUCAGAGGGAAGAUCCUUGCUUUUAACACUCUCAGAAGUGUAUAUUAGCUCAUACAUCAAGUUUAUACUCCCAGGACGACGGCUUUAGUUCAGUAUACAUUCCCCAGACUAAUAAUUAGGCCAAAUAACUAUUGAUCCAAAAGAAAUUACUAUCUCCAACUAAGACCACUUAUUUUCAGUUCAAUGCUGACCGGAUGAGAAUAAUUUGUCUUGUUGACAUCAAGAAGAUUGUUGUUAUAAGGGCAUAGAGGAAAACCAACAUUCCAUGCAUUGACAAAUAAAUAUUACCUGCUUCAUUAAAGAAGUAAAUGCAUACUUUGGCAAGCCAAAUCCAAUUGCAGCCAUCUCGGCAACAACCUAGAGAACAGUACCUCAUAUCAUGCUUAGCUUCAUAUAUUAUAAGCUUGGAUAAAUUAAGAGAAAACAAACAAAUGAAGCACCUCAAUUGCAGAAAUCAUUUUGGAACCCCAUGAGUCCAUGGUUUUUCUCCAUUCAGGGAACCCUUCAGGUAUGACAGGUUCAGAGUUCAGCUCCUAUAAAAGAACAUCUCAUGCUUUAUGUACAAUAAGAUCAUUAUUUAGCACAACUGAACACUAAAUAAACAAGCAAUAUCUUGUGGAAAGAACGCAGCAAAAUUACAACCUUGAAACGGGUGUUUGUUGGGCGGGGACCCACUCUCCACAUGUAUCGCCAUUUAGGAUCUGGUCCUGUCGGAGUAUAUGGUUGAAAUUCUUUUGGCAUCGUCCUUAUCUUCUCCUGCAUAUCCUCAUCUACGAGGCUGCGUGGUACCUCCACCCCUUCAGGUGUUACACCAACCUAUUUUAUACAAACAGAUAACACUGUGAAGCAGGGAAAGCAUAUAUAGGAUGAGCACUCAUAGUAACAUUACUAUGUACUAAUGGAAGUUGUUCUAAUCCAAUUGAAUACACGGCACAAAGAACUGAUAUACCUACAAAAAGAAAAGGACAUUAAGAUGUUAAAAAAACUAAAACAGUUUGGGGCUUGAAUUUCAUGCUGACUAAUGUGGAUAGAAGGGAGUUAAUUAACAGAGAAAAGAGUGCAACAAUGGUGCUAUUAACUAAUAACCCUGCUUACAUGCCAGAAAGAAUCGGUCAAGUUGAUCCAAUUGCAUUUGACAAGAACCUUGCAACUAUAUGGACUGCAGGAAAUGACACAGUAUUACUGUGCAGCUGCCAUAAACAGAUACAAGCUCACAGUUCUACAAACCAACAGUAAUAGGCCAUAGGUUUUACGGAAGAAAGAGUCGUCACAUCUAACGAAACCCAGAUUUUAGGCAUACUAAGACCUACUUUAGGAUUACAGUGCAAAAAACACCUACUUUUAUGGUUUGGAAGGCCCAAAAAAUCCAAAAGCGCUUCCAAUCUCCCUCCUUCAAUGCUAUAAAAUUGCGGUCUGCCACUAAAGAACCAAACAAGUACAUACUUCUUCGGCAGUGGUUUCUACCAUAAUUUUAUAGCAUUGAAGGGAAAAUUAGAUGCACUUUCAGAUUUGUUUUUGGCCUUCCGAAAGCCGGAAAACGGGUGAUCUUAGUCCACCACGGUACCAAACAAGGCCAAAACGAGACACAGACUGAGUUUUCUGCAGCAAGUUCACUGGAAAAGAGAGAAAAACAUGAAAGAGAGCAGAUUCAAUAUGGUUGAGAUCAUAUCUGAACAAAUUAUGCAUGGAAAACAAUAAGGCUGAAUUGCAAGCUCUUUCAAUCACUCGCACAUCUGGCCGAUAACCAAUCUGUUAAAAACUAUCACAUAAUUGUGACCAACUUCAGCAUGAUACAUUGAUUUCAACUAUACUAAACAAGUCUGUUUAUCCUGCCAAAAAAUAAGCCAUCCUGUUGGCAAGAUUCCAUAAGCAAUUUACACACUUAAUCUGAUAUUGUCUCACUUAGUUUGAAGUGAUAUGUGAGAUGAACCCCCUCACAUUUCCUCCUCAUAUUUUCUAUUCCAUUACAUUUGUAUCUGAGAUCUAAUGCACAGGUAAUUUACCAUUAUCCAUCCCGGUUAGCUCAGAUUCUUCAGAAUGCAUAAAAUUGUCAAUAUAUUGAUUUAGUCAUAGGAUUAUUAGAACUGCUUGACAUUAGACAAUGCCUUGUAAGUAAGAGGAGAUACAAGUGAUCAGUUUAUUCACUACUGCUGUUUCGAACUACAAAUUCACGUCAGAAGAGAAAUGUAGAACCUCUGCGACCAAUCCGUCGCUUCAAUUCAAUCUCCAAAGGCACCUCAACCUCAAAGUUCAAAUCCAUAACUAGAGCAAGCCGAGAAUUACCAAAAAGAUACAACAGCAGAUGCCCUAAUUGCCCCAAAUUUUCCGAUCGCAUAGUGAAAUUGGAGUGAGAAGUAGGAGAAGAGGCGAAAAGAAGAAGAGGAAGGGGAGAAUCCGACCUGGUAAUGGAGGUUGGGCCGUUCCUGGAGGCGCUUGAACUCCUCGGAUCGCUCGAAGUACCUUUCCAUCAUAUCAAGGAACCGAUCGUUGUCCUCGGCGGAGCACCUCGGAUCCUUCACGAGGAGCGCGCCCGUGUCCCUCAGGCUACCGCUCACCGCCGCGCAGAGCGCCACCACCUCCUCCUCCGCCCGCCGAUCGGGGCCACCUCCGCCUCCGCCGCCGCCGCCACAAGCCGCAGCGUCGAGGUAGGGGGCGAGAUCCACGACGGGGAGGUCCAUCGCCGGAGAUGGCGGGGUCCGGUGCUCCGCCGCCGCGAUCGCGUCGUUCGCAAUUGAGAGGGGAGGGGAGAGGAGAAGAGAUCGAUAUAAGGUAGACGACGGAAGGGAGGAAGAGUUUUUGGCGUGCACGAGAUGCGAGGGAGGGUGAGUUGGGCGGGAGGGGUAUUUAUUUAUUCAUAGGAAUAUACAAAUUUCCAAUUUAGAACCUUUUAAAACUAGGAAAAGCUAGUAGAGCCACGUGGAGUCCAACUGUGAUGUGAUGUUGAUGAUGAUGAGGGGGGUUGAGAGCGAAGGUAAAGAAAGGCGUGAAUCCAAAAAGGUACAGAAACCGGGUCGGGUCGUAAAACCGGGGGCAGAGAAAAAGUAUGCCUAGGCAACAGUUCUGAGUACCGACGUAUUCUAAUACAGUAUAAUUUUAUUACCGUUUGACUCGAAAAUAAAUAAGAACUAAUUAUUUCAAAAAUACAUAUAAAUACAAGCAUAAAAAGGAAUAAGAGUAAUUUUAUAUUUAGAUUAAAAUAGAUACAAAUGUCGGUAUAAGGAGGAAUAACAAAAAAUAUAUUUUGAUAAUAUUUAGGGAUAAGAAAAUAAUGGGUUGGUAAAAUUUUAAUAUACCCAAAUUACACCUAUAUGAGAAAAAAUAGACAGAGUUACUUGAUUUGUAAGUUAUAUUUUUUUAAUUUAUUUUAGCAUAAAAUGAGAUGAUUAUUUAAUUACUAAUAAAAUAAUUAAAAAAGAAAAUGUACUGUAAUAUUUGUAAAAAAUGCAGAUGAUAUUUUCGUUAUGUCGCAGUUAGAGGUAGGUACAAAUGACGGGAUUUUGAAAUUUUAACAUAGGACGGAAAUAAUAUUUUUAGUUGUAAAUAACAUAAUAAUAUUUAGAUACAUUAUAUAAAUAAAUUACACACGAAGAUUAUAUGAAAUUUUACUACAACCAAAUGAAAGCAACAAACUUCAGCAUCGAUCCGCAACCCAGACGGCACGAGGGUCUCACAAAUCGUUUGGGCCAAAAUUUAUGUUUGGGGAUUAGCUGGGGAAUAAGGCUUAAUCCUCCAACUAAUUCCCAAGCCAAACACAGUCUAAUUAAAUUUAGAAUAUUUGUUUGUUUAUAAGAUCAAAUUUGCUUUUUGUACAGUAGGAAAUUUCCCAUAAACGUCAUCUACUACAAAUACACAUCAACAGCUCUGAAUUGAGGUGAAAUAUUAUCCAAAAAAAGUAAUCACAACCAAAAAAAAUGGGCCGCAUCGUACGUGGGCUCCAACUUAGAUGAGAAAAUUUAUUAUAAUGAAAAUAUGGGCCAUGUACAAACAGGCAAUUGUGGUGCUUCUUUUUCUUUAUUUUCUAGUAAUAUAGCCAUUGAUCCGAGGUCUGUUUGGCUCGACAUAAAAUUAUAAAAAAUAAUUUUGGUGAAAAAGAAUUUAUAUUUUAUAAUAUUUGAUUUGUAAAAAAAAAUUUUAUUAAUAUUUGUUUGGUUAGAAUAAAAAAAUUAUGUUUAUUUGGUUUGAUAGAAAAAAAAAAUGAAUGAAAGAAAUUUUACACAGCUCGAUUUUUUUUUUCCGUCCAAAAGCAACAAAAAAUAAAAUUUAAUUUUUCUCUAAAUUCGCAAAAAAUACUUUUAUCGAAAAAUAUUUUUAUAUCAAACCAAACAAGCGAAAAAAUAUUUUUUAUACCGAAAAUAAUUUUUUAGUUCGUUUUAUGUCGAGCCAAACGCGCCCGAAGCUUUUUUAUAAAAUGCGAAGCUAAGAAUGAUAUAAGGCAUGCUGUUUCUAGAUUGUUGCCGAGAUGACUGCAGUAGGAUUUGGCUUGCCAAAAGAUGCAUUUACUUCGUUAAUGAAACAGGUAACAUUUAUUUGCCGAUGCAUGGAACGUUGGUUUGCUCUCUGCCCUUUACAACAGUAAGAGAACAGCAAUCAAUUUAGUUUUCUUUUUGUGCAGGUAGAGUGGCUUACUGGAGGGGAAUGUGUAGCUGGGAUGCGACACUGGAAGCUAUUGAUCUUUCACAUUUACCUCUCGAAUUUAGACCCUGCAUUGGUGUGUCACUGACUUCCUAGCGUUGUCCCCGUUAAAAUACCUGAUCGCACGUAUCGCUUCCGAUGCAAUGCUGAAGCCAUUGUGUCAUUUUAAUGACUCUACCCUUACGAAAAAGCAUCCAACCAUCUGUGCUAGAGACUGACCGUCCCUAGAGCAAGUGGCAAAGGACUUGGUGGUUGAUACCCGAGGUCCCAAAUUCGAAUUCUAGUUGAUUCGUAGUUUCAGCUAAGUUUAUUUGUAAAUGAAAUAAACGAAACGAAUAGCAUGCUACCUAUCUCUCAAAAAAAAAAAACCAUAUGUGCUAGAGAUUACGUCGAGCAAGAGCUUCUCAGUGAUAAAUCUAAAACAAAUUAAGCCGCGCCAUCCAGUUCCAUCAUCCAUGUGGCUAGAAUUAGUACAAAAAGUCCCGUGGGAGAGAAUUUGUGCCUUAAUCUCUCUAAUUUGACUGGUGAACACUACUGACUCGUGUCGAAAAGAGUACUUCACAAGGGCAUCUGGAAUUGUAGUUCCCUCUGUAAUUGGUAAAACAUACGUGUUUUUUUCUCUAACCAUUCUUUCUAACUAACAUGGCGUUCAUUAGCCAACAACGCGCAAUUUGUAGGUGCAAAUUCUGCUAUGUAAGCAGUAUAGAAGAGUACACGUCAAAAAUCUUUGCAAACCAUAUGACUUUCUUCUUUUCUUUUUUUCAGAGAGAUAGGUAGUACGUUACCCGAUUCGUUUAUUUCAUUUAAAAAUAAACUUAGCUGGAAAUGUAAAUCAAUUAGGAUUCGAAUUUGGGUCUCGAAUACCAACCACCAAACCCUUUGCCUCUUGCUCUAAGGACGAUCGGUUAAACCAUAUGACUUUCAUUUUGGGGGGUGGAAAAGGAUCUUUGCAACUCCUAGUGUUUUUUUUUUUUUUUUUGAGAGAAAUAGAUAGCUCGCUAUCUGUUUCGUUUAUUUCAUUUAGAAAUAAAUUUAGUUGAAAAUGUGAAUCAAUUAGAAUGUAAACUUGAAAUUUCGGAUACCAACCAUCAAACCCUUUGCAGCUCCAAGUGUUGAAAAAGUGAUUCCAAUGAACUUAACGUAUAGUUAAGUAUGUUU